rnacentral:lncRNA from 1 species
UGCUUAAGUCUGUUCGAAUCAUGUUAGCAAUUGCCACAUUUUAUGAUUAUGAAAUUUGGCAAAUGGAUGUCAAAACUGCAUUCCUUAAUGGAUAUCUUAAAGAAGAGUUGUAUAUGAUGCAACCAGAAGGUUUUGUCGAUCCUAAAGGUGCUAACAAAGUGUGCAAGCUCCAGCGAUCCAUUUAUGGACUGGUGCAAGCAUCUCGGAGUUGAAAUAUACGCUUUGAUAAUGUGAUCAAAGCAUAUGGUUUUAUACAGACUUUUGGAGAAGCCUGUAUUUACAAGAAAGUGAGUGGGAGCUCCGUAGCAUUUCUAAUAUUAUAUGUAGAUGACAUAUUGUUGAUUGGAAAUGAUACAGAAUUUCUGGAUAGCAUAAAAGGAUAGUUGAAUAAGAAUUUUUCAAUAAAAGACCUCGGUAAAGCUGCUUAUAUAUUGGGCAUCAAGAUCUAUAGAGAUAGAUCAAGACGCUUAAUUGGAAUUACAAAGCACAUACCUUGAUAAAGUUUUGAAGAAGUUCAAAAUGGACCAGUCAAAGAAAGGGUUCUUGCUUGUGUUACAAGGUGUGAAAUUGAGUCAGACUCAAUGCCCGACCACUGCAGAAGAUAGAGAGAAAAUGAAAGUCAUUCCCUAUGCCUCAGCCAUUGGUUCUAUCAUGUAUGCAAUGCUGUGUACCAUACCUGAUGUGUGCCUUGCUAUAAGUUGAGGUACCAAAGUAAUCUAGGAGUGGAUCACUGGACAACGGUCAAGAACAUCCUGAAAUACCUGAAAAGGACUAAGGAUAUGUUUCUCGUUUAUGGAGGUGACAAAGAGCUUGUCGUAACUGGUUAUGUCGAUGCAAGCUUUGACACUGAUCCGGAUGACUCUAAGUCACGAACCGGAUACGUAUUUAUAUUGAAUGGUGGAGCUGUCAAUUGGUGCAGUUCCAAGCAGAGCGUCGUGGCGGGAUCUACGUGUGAAGCGGAGUACAUAGCUGCUUCGGAACCAGCAAAUGAAGGAGUCUGGAUGAAGGAGUUCAUAUCCGAUCUAGGUGUAAUACCUAGUGCAUCGGGUCCAAUGAAAAUCUUUUCUGACAAUACUGGAGCAAUUGCCUUGGCGAAGGAAUCCAGAUUUCACAAGAGAACCAAACACAUCAAGAGACGCUUCAAUUCCAUCCGCGAUCAAGUCAAGGAGGGAGACAUAGAGAUUUGCAAAAUACAUACGGAUCUUAAUGUUGCAGACCCAUUGACUAAGCCUCAUCCACGAGCUAAACAUGAUCAACACCAAGACUCCAUGGGUGUUAGAAUCAUUACUAUGUAAUCUAGAUUGUUGACUCUAGUGCAAGUGGGACUGAAGGAAAUAUGCCCUAGAGGCAAUAAUAAAGUUGUUAUUUAUAUUUCCUUAUAUCAUGAUAAACGUUUAUUACUCAUGCUAGAAUUGUCUUAACCGGAAACUUAGUACAUGUGUGAAUACAUAGACAAAACAGAGUGUCCCUAGUAUGCCUCUACUUAACUAGCUCGUUGAUCAAAGAUGGUUAUGUUUCCUGACCAUAGACAUGUGUUGUCAUUUGAUGAACGGGAUUGCUACCUCUUGAGCACUGCGUUGGUUUUCCCUUGAAGAGGAAAGGGUGAUGCAGUAAAGUAGCGUAAGUAUUUCCCUCAGUUUUUGAGAACCAAGGUAUCAAUCCAGUAGGAGAUCACGCUUGAGUCCCACGCACCUACACAAACAAACAAGAACCUCGCAACCAACGCGAUAAAGGGGUUGUCAAUCCCUUCACGGUCACUUACGAGAGUGAGAUCUGAUAGAUAUGAUAAGAUAAUAUUUUUGGUAUUUUUAUAAUAAAGAUGCAAAGUAAAAUAAACGGCAAUGGAAAUAACUAAGUGUUGGAAGAUUAAUAUGAUGGAAAAUAGACCCCGGGGCCAUAGGUUUCACUAGUGGCUUCUCUCAAGAGCAUAAGUAUUACGGUGGGUAAACGAAUUACUGUCGAGCAAUUGAUAGAAUUGAGCAUAGUUAUGAGAAUAUCUAGGUAUGAUCAUGUAUAUAGGCAUCACGUCCGCGACAAGUAGACCGACUCCUGCCUGCAUCUACUACUAUUACUCCACACAUCGACCGCUAUCCAGCAUGCAUCUAGAGUAUAAGUUCAUAAGAACAUAGUAAUGCUUUAAGUAAGAUGACAUGAUGUAGAGGGAUAAACUCAUGCAAUAUGAUAUAAACCCCAUCUUUUUAUCCUCGAUGGUAACAAUACAAUACGUGUCGUUUCCCUUGCUGUCACUGGGAUCGAGCACCGCAAGAUUGAACCCAAAGCUAAGCACUUCUCCCAUUGCAAGAAACAUCAAUCUAGUAGGCCAAACCAAACUGAUAAUUCGAAGAGACUUGCAAAGAUAACCAAUCAUACAUAAAAUAAUUCAGAGGAGAUUCAAAUAUUGUUCAUAGAUAAACUUGAUCAUAAACCCACAAUUCAUCGGAUCUCGACAAACACACCGCAAAAGAAGAUUACAUCGAAUAGAUCUCCAAGAAGAUCGAGGAGAACAUGGUAUUGAGAUCCAAAGAGAGAGAAGAAGCCAUCCAGCUAAUAACUAUGGACCCGAAGGUCUGAGGUAAACUACUCACACAUCAUUGGAGAGGCUAUGGUGUUGAUGUAGAAGCCCUCCAUGAUCAAUGCCCCCUCCGGCCGAGCACCGGAAAAGGCCCCAAGAUGGCAUCUCACGGGUACAGAAGGUUGCGGCGGUGGAAAUAGGGGUUUGGCUCCGUAUCUGAUCGUUUGGGGGUACGUAGGUAUAUAUAGGAUGAAGAAGUACGUCCGUGGAGCAACAUCGGCCCCACGAGGGUGGAGGGCGCGCCUGGGGGGGUAGGCAUGCCCCCCUGCCUCGUGCUCUCCGCGUUGAUUGCUUUGCGUAGACUCCAAGUCCUUUGGAUCACGUUUGUUUCGAAAAUCACGUUCCCGAAGGUUUCAUUCCGUUUGGACUCCGUUUGAUAUUCCUUUUCUGCGAAACACUGGAAUAGGCAAAAAAACUGCAAUUUGGGUUGGGCCUCCGGUUAAUAGGUUAGUCCCAAAAAUAAUAUAAAAGUGUAUAAUAAAGCCCAUUAAACAUCCAAAACAGAAUAUAAUAUAGCAUGGAACAAUAAAAAAUUAUAGAUACGUUGGAGACGUAUCAAGCAUCCCCAAGCUUAAUUCCUGCUCGUCCUCGAGUAGGUAAAUGAUAAAAAUAGAAUUUUUGAUGUGGAAUGCUACUUAGCAUAAUUUUCAAUGUAAUUCUUCUUAUUGUGGCACGAAUGUUCAGAUUCGAUAUGAUUCAAGAUAAAAGUUUAAUGUUGACAUAAAAAUAAUAAUACUUCAAGCAUGCUAACCAAGCAAUUAUGUCUUAUCAAAAUAACAUAGCCAAAGCAAGUUAUCCCUACAAAAUCAUAUAGUCUGGCUAUGCUCCAUCUUCACCCCACAAAGUAUUCAUAUCAUGUACAUCCCCGGUUUUAGCCAAGCAAUUGGUUCAUACUUUUUAACGCGCUUCAUCCUUUUCAACUUUUACGCAAUACAUGAGCGCAAGCCAUGGAUAUAGCACUAUGGUGGAAUAUGGUAUAAUGAUAGGGGUUAUGUGGGAAGACAAAAAAGGAGAAAGUCUGACAUCGACGAGGCUAAUCAACAGGCUAUGGAGAUGCCCAUCAAUUGACGUCAAUGCAAGGAGUAGGGAUUGCCAUGCAACGGAUGCACUAGAGCUAUAAGUGUAUGAAAGCUCAACAAAAGAAACUAAGUGGGUGUGCAUCCAACUUGCUUGCUCACGAAGACCUCGGGCAUUUUGAGGAAGCCCAUCAUUGGAAUAUACAAGCCAAGUUCUAUAAUGAAAUUUCCCACUAGUAUAUGAAAGUGACAAAAUGAGAGACUCUCUAUCAUGAAGAUCACGGUGCUACUUUGAAGCACAAGUGUGGUAAAAGGAUAGUAACAUUGUCCCUUCUCUCUUUUUCUCUCAUUUUUUUGGGCCUUUUCUCUUUUUUUGGCCUCUUUUCUCUUUUUUUUAUUUAGUCCGGAGUCUCAUCCCGACUUGUGGGGGAAUCAUAGUCUCCAUCAUCCUUUCCUCACUUGGGACAAUGCUCUAAUAAUGAUGAUCAUCACACUUUUAUUUACUUACAACUCAUGAAUUACAACUCGAUACUUGGAACAAGAUAUGACUCUAUGUGAAUGCCUCCGGUGGUGUACCUUGAUAUGCAAUGAAUAAAGAGUGACAUGUAUGAAAGAAUUAUGAACGGUGGCUUUGCCACAAAUACGAUGUCAACUACAUGAUUAUGCAAAGCAAUAUGACAAUGAUGGAGCCUGUCAUGAUAAACGAAACGGUGGAAAGUUGCAUGGCAAUAUAUCUCGGAAUGGCUAUGGAAAUGCCAUAAUAGGUAGGUAUGGUGGCUGUUUUGAGGAAGGUAUAAGGAGGUUUAUGUGUGAUAGAGCGUGUCAUAUCAUGGGGUUUGGAUGCACCGGCGAAGUUUGCACCAACUCUCAAGGUGAGAAAGGGCAAUGCACGGUACCGUAGAGGCUAGAAAAUAGCGGAAAGAUAAGUGUGCAUAUAAUCCGUGGACUCACAUUAGUCAUAAAGAACUCAUAUACUUAUUGCAAAAGUUUAUGAGCCCUCGAAGCAAAGUACUAGUACGCAUGCUCCUAGGGGAAGGGUUGGUAGGAGUUAACCAUCGCGCGAUCCCGACCGCCACACAAAGGAUGACAAUCAAUAAAUACCUCAUGCUCCGACUUCGUUACAUAACGGUUCACCAUACGUGCAUGCUACGGGAAUCACAAAAUCCAACACAAGUAUUUCUCAAUUUCACAAUUACUCAACUAGCACAACUAUGAUAUUACCACCUCUAUAUCUCAAAACAAUUAUCAAGCAUCAAAUCUCUCAUGAUAUUAUAAUUAAAGCAAAUUGCCAUGCUGUUUUAAGGCUCUCAAAUUAAUAUAAGUGAAGCAUGAGAGAUCAAUAGUUUCUAUAAAACAAAUCCACCACCGUGCUCUAAAAAAUAUAAGUGAAGCACUAGAGCAAAAACUAUAUAGCUCAAAAAAUAUAAGUGAAGCACAUAGAGUAUUCUAAUAAAUUCUGAAUUAUGUGUGUCUCGCUCAAAAGGUGUGUACAGCAAGGAUGAUUGUGGUAAACUAAAAAGCAAAGACUCAAAUCAUACAAGACGCUCCAAGCAAAACACAUAUCAUGUGGUGAAUAAAAAUAUAGCUCCAAGUAAAGUUACCGAUGGAAGUAGACGAAAGAGGGGAUGCCUUCCGGGGCAUCCCCAAGAUUUGGCUUUUGGUGUCCUUAGAUUAUCUUGGGGUGCCAUGGGCAUCCCCAAGCUUAGGCUCUUGCCACUCCUUGUUUCAUAAUCCAUCAAAUCUUUACCCAAAACUUUAAAACUUCACAACACAAAACUUAACAGAAAAUCUCGUGAGCUCCGUUAGCGAAAGAAAACAAAACACCACUUCAAGGUACUGUAUUGAACUCAUUCUUUAUUUAUAUUGGUGUUAAACUUACUGUAUUCCAACUUCUCUAUGGUUUAUAAACUAUUUUACUAGCCAUAGAUUCAUCAAAAUAAGCAAACAACACAUGAAAAACAGAAUCUGUCAAAAACAGAACAGUCUGUAGUAAUCUGUAACUAACGCAAACUUAUGUAACUCAAAACAUUCUACCAAAAUAGUACGACUUAGACAAUUUGUUUAUUGAUCAGCAGCAAUUGGAAUCAAUAUUUUAUCACGUUCUGGUGAUUUUAAACAAUUGUUUUCGUGAACAGAAAGUUUCUGGAAUUUUCAGCAAGAUCAAAUAACUAUCAUCCAAGAAGAUCCUAUAGGUUUCACUUGGCACAAACAUUAAUUAAAACAUAAAAACAAAUCUAACCAGAGGUUAGAUCAAAUAUUUAUUCCUAAACAGAAGCAAAAAGCAAAAAAUAAAAUAAAAUUGGGUUGCCUCCCAACAAGCACUUUUUUUAAAGCCUUUUUAGCUAGGCAUUGAGAUUUCAAUGAUGCUCACAUAAAAGAUAAGAAUUAAAGCGCAAAAAGAGCAUCAUAAAACACGUGACAAACACAUCUAAGUCUAACAUACUUCCUAUGCAUAGGCAUUUUAUAAGCAAACAAAUUAUCAUAGCAAGCAAAAAUUAGCAUAUGCAAGGAAGAACAAAGAGACGAUAGCAAUCUCAACAUGACGAGAGGUAAUUUAGUAAGAUAAAAAUUUCUACAACCAUAUUUUCCUCUCUCAUAAUAAUUAGAUGUGGGAUCAUAAGCAAAUUCAACAAAAUAGAUAUCACAUAAAAUUCUCUCUACAUGAUCCAUAUGCAUGCAAAGUUGACACUCUUCCAAAAUAGUGGGAUUAACAUUAACUAAAGUCAUGACCUCUCCAAACCCACUUUUAUCGAAAAUACCAUAAGAUUGAACAUUCUCCAAAUACGUGGGAUCUAAAGUUGACACUCUUCCAAACCCACUUUCAAUAUUAUUGCAAACGCUAUUAUCAAUCUCAUAUUCAUCAUGGGGCUUAAAUAAAUUCUCAAGAUCAUAAGAAGAAUCACCCCAAUCAUGAUCAUUGCAACAAGUAGUAGACAUAGCAAAACUAGCAUCCCCAAGCUUAGGGUUUUGCAUAUUAUUAGCACAACUGACAUCAAGAGAAUUUAUAAAAAAAAUCAUUGCAAUCAUGCUUUUUAUUCAAGGAGCUAUCGUGAAUCUCUUCAUAAAUUUCUUCAUCACAAUUUUCAGAUUCACGAAUUUCAAGCAAAACCUCAUAAAGAUAAUCUAGUGCACAAACUUACUAGCAAUUGGUUCAUCAUAAUUGGAUCUUUUAAAAAGAUUACCAAGAGGAUGAGGAUCCAUAGAUCUUUUAGCAAGCGAAGAUGCAAGCAAAAAGAAGGCACAUGGUAACACAAGAUCGAAUGGAAGGAGGCGAACGGAAAAGAGGGCGAAUAAAACGGCAAGGGUGAAGUGGGGGAGAGGAAAACAAGAGGCAAAUGGCAAAUAAUGUAAUGCGAGGGAGAAUAGUUUGUGAUGGGUACUUGGUAUGUCUUGACUUGUGCGUAGAUUCCGGCAACGGAGCCAGAAAUGGCUCGUUGGCAGGAAAUUAAAUCUAGACUUGACUUGGCGCGAAUCUCCCCGGCAACGGCGCCAGAAAUCCUUCUUGCUACCUCUUGAGCACUGCGUUGGUUUUCCCUUGAAGAGGAAAGGGUGAUGCAGUAAAAUAGCGUAAGUAUUUCCCUCAGCUUUUGAGAACCAAGGUAUCAAUCCAGUAGGAGAUCACGCUCGAGUCCCACGCACCUACACAAACAAACAAGAACCUCGCAACCAACGCGAUAAAGGGGUUGUCAAUCCCUUCACGGUCACCUACGAGAGUGAGAUCUGAUAGAUAUGAUAAGAUAAUAUUUUUGGUAUUUUUAUAAUAAAGAUGCAAAGUAAAAUAAACGGCAAUGGAAAUAACUAAGUGUUGGAAGAUUAAUAUGAUGGAAAAUAGACCCGGGGGCCAUAGGUUUCACUAGUGGCUUCUCUCAAGAGCAUAAGUAUUACGGUGGGUAAACGAAUUACUGUCGAGCAAUUGAUAGAAUUGAGCAUAGUUAUGAGAAUAUCUAGGUAUGAUCAUGUAUAUAGGCAUCACGUCCGCGACAAGUAGACCGACUCCUGCCUGCAUCUACUACUAUUACUCCACACAUCGACCGCUAUCCAGCAUGCAUCUAGAGUAUUAAGUUCAUAAGAACAGAGUAAUGCUUUAAGUAAGAUGGCAUGAUGUAGAGGGAUAAACUCAUGCAAUAUUAUAUAAACCCCAUCUUUUUAUCCUCGAUGGCAACAAUACAAUACAUGUCGUUUCCCUUGCUAUCACUGGGAUCGAGCACCGCAAGAUUGAACCCAAAGCUAAGCACUUCUCCCAUUGCAAGAAAGAUCAAUCUAGUAGGCCAAACCAAACUAAUAAUUCGAAGAGACUUGCAAAGAUAACCAAUCAUACAUAAAAGAAUUCAGAGGAGAUUCAAAUAUUGUUCAUAGAUAAACUUGAUCAUAAACCCACAAUUCAUCGGAUCUCGACAAACACACCGCAAAAGAAGAUUACAUCGAAUAGAUCUCCAAGAAGAUCGAGGAGAACAUGGUAUUGAGAUCCAAAGAGAGAGAAGAAGCCAUCUAGCUAAUAACUAUGGACCCGAAGGUCUGAGGUAAACUACUCACACAUCAUUGGAGAGGCUAUGGUGUUGAUGUAGAAGCCCUCCGUGAUCAAUGCCCCCUCCGGCGGAGCGCCAGAGAAGGCCCCAAGAUGGGAUCUCAUGGGUACAGAAGGUUGCGGCGGUGGAAAUAGGGUUUUGGCUCCGUAUCUGGUCGUUUGGGGGUACGUAGGUAUAUAUAGGAGGAAGAAGUACGUCGGAGGAGCAACAUGGGCCCCAUGAGGGUGGAGGGCGCGCCUGGGGGAGGGGGGGUAGGCGUGCCCCCCUGCCUAGUGCUCUCCAUGUUGAUUGCUUUGCGUAGACUCCAAGUCCUCUGGAUCACGUUCCCGAAGGUUUCAUUCCGUUUGGACUCCUUUUGGUAUUCCUUUUCUACGAAGCACUGAAAUAGGCAAAAAAACAGCAAUCUGGGCUGGGCCUCCGGUUAAUAGGUUAGUCCCAAAAAUAAUAUAAAAGUGUAUAAUAAAGCCCAUUAAACAUCCAAAACAGAAUAUAAUAUAGCAUGUAACAAUCAAAAAUUAUAGAUGCGUUGGAGACGUAUCAGGGAUCACAUCAUUAGAGAAUGAUGUGAUGGACAAGACCCAUCCGUUAGCUUAGCAUAAUGAUCGUGUAGUUUUAUUGCUAUUGCUUUCUUCAUGACUUAUACAUGUUCCUCUGACUAUGAGAUUAUGCAACUCCGAAUACCAGAGGAACACCUUGUGUGCUAUCAAACGUCACAACGUAACUGGGUGAUUAUAAAGAUGUUCUACAGGUGUCUCUGAAGGUGCUUGUUGGGUUGGCAUAGAUCAAGAUUAGGAUUUGUCACUCCGUGUAUCGGAGAGGUAUCUCUGGGCCCUCUCGGUAAUGCACAUCACUAUAGGCCUUGCAAGCAAUGUGACUAAUAAGUUAGUUACGGGAUGAUGCAUUACGGAACGAGUAAAGAGACUUGCCNNNNNNNNNNGUAACGAGAUUAAACUAGGUAUGAGGAUACCGACGAUCGAAUCUCGGGCAAGUAACAUACCGAUGACAAAGGGAAUGACGUAUGUUGUUAUGCGGUUUGACCGAUAAAGAUCUUCAUAGAAUAUGUAGGAGCCAAUAUGAGCAUCCAUGUUCCGCUAUUGGUUAUUGACCGGAGAUGUGUCUCGGUCAUGUCUACAUAGUUCUUGAACCCGUAGGGUCCGCACGCUUAACGUUCGAUGACGAUUUGUAUCAUGAGUUGUGUGUUUUGGUGACCGAAGUUUGUUCGGAGUCCCGGAUGAGAUCACGGAGAUGACGAGGAGACUCAAAAUAGUCGAGAGGUAAAGAUUGAUAUAUUGGAAGGUUAUAUACGGACACUGGAAUGGUUCUGAAGAAGAUCGGGGAUUUUUCGGAGUACCGGGAGGUUACCGGAACCCCCCGUGAAAGUUAAUGGGCCUCAUGGGCCAUGGUGGAGAAGAGGAUGCAGGCCACGGGAGGUGGCGCACGCCUCCCCCUUGCCCAAUCCAAAUUGGACAAGGGGUGUGGGCACGCCCCCCCCCNNNNNNNNNNCCCCCCCCCUUUCCUUCUCCUUCUCCCCUGUUUCCCCUUUCCCCUCUCCGUUGGAAGGAAGGGGGUGAAACCUACUAGGAGUGGAGUCCUAGUAGGACUCCCCCCCUUGGCGCGCCUCCUCCUGGCCCGCCGGCCUCCUCCCCCUCUCCUUUAUAUACGAGGGCGGGGGGGACCCCAAAGGCACACCAAGAAUUCUCUUAGCCGUGUGCGGUGCCCCCAUCCACAGUUUACUCCUCCGGUCAUAGCGUCGUAGUGCUUAGGCGAAGCCCUGCACGGAUCACAUCAUCAACACCGUCACCACGCCGUCAUGUUGACGGAACUCUCCCUCGACCAUCUACUGGAUCAAGAGUUCGAGGGACGUCAUCGAGCUGAACGUGUGCUGAACAUGCAGGUGCCGUACGUUCGAUACUUGGAUCGGUUGGAUCCUGAAGACGUUCGACUACAUCAACCGCGUUAACCUAACGCUUCCGGUUUCGGUCUACGAGGGUAUGUGGACACACUCUCCCUAGCGCUUUGAGCGGCACUAGCCGUCGGUACCCCAGCCCAAUUUUUGGCCGACCGUGUGUGAGCCCUCCGAUUCAACCCGUAACAACCAUUAGAUUAGGAUGCAUCGCAGCAGGAAAAAAUGUCGACGCAAAAUAAUUGUCUGUUUCUCAUCCCCACACAGUCCACGAGCGAUUCGCACGCCAAAUCACUGCCGCUGUGCUUCAUGGCCGGCAACGCCCCCUUACCGGACUGGUAGAUACCUCUCACAGGACCUCCAGUGAUAUCGCUCGACGGAGCUCAUGUAGACAAAGCUCACCCUCGAGGAACCGCUCGCAGCUGGUCACAAUCUCCCGUCGUUGAAGCACACACCGUUGCCGAUCUAGUAUAUAGCACCGCUAGCUGCAACUCCGCGGGCAUGUGCUUACAGUCGUGAUGGCAACAUGCGUCUCCGGUUGUAGCAAAAAAUUCAUUAUUGAUCCCACAUCCUCCGGUAAAAAGUUACUAUUGCCAAAAUAAAAUGCUAUAAUUGGCGAAUCAAAAAGAUGCUACUACCAAAAAGGGGAUUGAUGCGACCGGCGAAAUCAAAAGUUGGAACCUGCGACGCAAAAUGCUACUAUCAGCAAAAAAAUUGGUGAAUCAAAAGUUGGUGAUGCUUGAUGAAAUUGCUGUGAUGGCUGAAAUAAAAAGCUGGAAUCGACAAAUCAAAAGGCUGCAACCGGCUAAAUAAAAAACAAAGCCAUAGCAGGAGCACGCCGCCUUGAAAAAAUGGUGUUGCAUCCGCAGGGGUGUGCGUGCUUCAUCGCGUCGAGAUCGCAGAGGGGGAGCAGCUCGUCGUCCAUGGACUCCCUCGUUUGUAGCAAUGGCAACAUGUGGCGAGAGCAACACCUUGCAUCAGAGGAGGGGGAUUGGGCACAAUGAUGUUGAACUGGGGGCACGCACGAGGGACAACAGCUUGCAGCAGUGGCGCGCAAGGCAACAACUUCCUCGUUGAGAGGGUAUAGAGAUAGAGAUAGAGAAGGAGAUGUGUGGAUGGAGGAAGAAGAAAAGAAGUGGAGGAGAGCAUCACAACCAGCGAAGGGAUAAGGUCAAGGGGAGAUAGCGACACUUGUGGCCCACAUCGCAUGCGUGCAAGUGAGAGCGACCGACCGAGUGCUCGGCUGGUCAUCCCAUCACAAUCAUUUACCUAGCGCUUUAAAUGGGAUUAUGAUUUUGUGUGAUCCUUGUGCUCUUAGUGGGAAUCCUAAUUUCCAACGAAGGGAUAAGGUCAAGGGAGAUAGCAACACAUGUCCCCCACAUCGCACGCGUGCGAGCGAGAGUGACCGGCCGAGUGUCGGUUGGUCGUCCCAUCACAAUCAUUUACCUAUCGCUUUUGGGAUCAUGAUUUUGUGUGAUCCUAAUUUACCCUCUUAAUGGGAAUCCUAAUUGGUGUGUGGGCACGGGCAGGUAAGCAUUAACUAUGAUUAUUUUUCCCUUCACGAAAGCAGUUUUCAUACUUGAUGUUGACGCAGAGUAUGUUUGCAGUUUUGUAGGCAAAAAAUUCACGCUGAAGCCGAGAAUUAAACUCAAAACUUCAACACUAAUCUCUUAGCCAAUUUGCCAACUCCCCCUGUUUGGUUCUUCUAGUUGAAAGAUAAAAGCACUAUUUGACCAUUCGCCUCUUCUUAUAGUGCAUGAAUAUUAAUUCCAAACACUGUUUCAAAUAUACCCGGUAAUUCUCUGUGUAAAAGAUGGUAAUUUACGCACCACAGACUUGAUAACAUACGUACAAACACCAUAUUAACUUUGACCUUGAGGAGUUAUUGACACAUACCCCAAGUAACUUCUAUAUACUCACAUGGUGAUUUAUGCACCAUGGACCUGAUAAUUUAUGUAUAGAUGACAUGAUAAUUUUCACCUGAAAAAAAGAGGUUGAAACAUACCAUUGUAACUUCUGCAUAAAUAACAUGCUAAUUUAUGUACCACGGACCGGAUAACUUACGUGUAAACAACGUGGUAACUCUAAUCUGGGGAAAUAAUUUUUUUUGAAACAUAUCCCUGGUAACUUAUGUGUAAACAUUAUGGUAAUUACGCGCUAUAGACCUAAUAACUUAUGUAUAAACACCACAGUAACUUCGACCCAAGGAAAUGUUUUGUUGAAACAUACCUCCGGUACCUUCUGUGUAAAUAGGAUGCUAAUUUAUGGACUGGAAACAUGGCAACUUACAUAACACCGUGGAAACUUCCUCGGGGGGGUUGAACAUACCCCGCUAACUCAUGUGUAACUGGUAUGGUAAUUUACGCACCAUAGAUUUGAUAACUUGCAUAUAAACACCACGAUACCUUUGACCCGAUUUUUUUAAUUGAAAUAUAUCCCCAUUAACUUAUACAUAAAUUACAUGGUAAUCUAAGCACCACAAAUCUGAUAACUUAUGUUAAAACAUUGUCGUAACUUCCACCGGGGUAAAAGUGAUUAAAACAUGCCCCAAUAACCUAUGUGUAAAGUUACCGGUCCUCUCAUGCUAUAGUUAUCGGUUUUCUCAUGUUAUAGGUAUCAGGAGGCUCAUGUUAAAGUUACUAGGAUGCUCAUGCCAUAGUUAUCAUGCUGCUCAUGCCAGAGUUAUCAAAGCAAAAAUUAACUUUUUUGCUGACAUGAUAGGAAGAAGAAGGGGCCAAAUACCCUUUUUUCAUGUAUGGUGGACAACAAGUAAAGGUGGUUGAGUUGGUUAUUUGGCUAGUAGCUAUUCAAUAGACUUGGGUUCAAGUCCUCCUUCCAGCAGUUCAUUUCUUUUUUAUAUCUCUUUUGUGACUAGAAAGGAAUACGAUGAAGAACACCGGUGAUUUAGUGUUGGCACAUGCGGCUUUCGGAAGAAGGGAGAAAAUCAGGGGGCAUGCGCAUGCGCGGGACAUAGGAUAGCGACCGGGUAGAAAACGGGUCAUUUGUAUUUGUCCCUAUAAUUGGAACGAUCACCAGUUAGUCCGGUCCAAUAAGAAAAGAGUGACCUACAUUGACUGCAAGGAUAUUUCUAUGACCGUUCCACCUCCACCCAAUGUCAUGAUCGCACUAGGAAUCCAUAAUUUAUUAAUUGGUGCUGCGAUCAUCCUUCAUUGAUGUCUUCUUCCACCUCCACCCAAUGCCAUGACCUUUGCACUAGGAAUAAAUAAUUUAUUAACUAGCAUAGUGGCCAAGUAGAGCCUUUUCGUAUUUGGGGUCAAUAGAUUUAACUUGGAAAAUAUGAUUUAUAUGUAACAAAAGAUAGUACUUUGGAAACUAAUUUUAAAUAUGAACCCAACAAUAUUUUUUAGCAUAUGACUUAAAUUUAUGGUCAAAAUUUGACCUAAAAUACGACGAAGACUAAUAAACCUGAACAAGGUGGUGCAUUUUUUCUUAAUCAACGAUUGAGGAGGGAGUCGAGGCAUAAAAGAAGUCGCCAACUCGAUUUGAUCUCGAUCAAAGGUACUCCCUUCUUUCUGUUUUAAAUGGCUCACGUGUGUCCUAGAUCAAUAAUUUACCGUUGUUAUAGAAAGUUAGAAUGACCAGUGUUAUAGAAAGCUAGAAUUUGGCAAAUCUUAGCGCUCACGUACUAGUUUCUAGACUGCAUCAUGCACUUGCACUGACAAAUGUUACAAAAAGUAACAAUUGUGAUAAGAAUGAUGCAUCAUGCACUUGCUAAAAGGACCUUAACUUUCUAUAACGGUAAGUCUUUUAGUCCAUUUAAUUACAUCCAAACUUGGACUUAGUCACCCAACUUGUAUCGCCCGCACUUAAUGGCUCUUUCUAUAAACCCAACUAGCUGCUGGUAGGUGGAUCAUGUCUCAUCUUGCUAUUCCCCUCUUCUUGGAUGUUUCUUUAGUAGCUAGCCCCAUCCUGGCUGAUUAUUGAGCCUCCAGGUUAGUACUCCAGCCCUUUACUUGUCAAAUAUUUUUCGUGUCGAUUAAUACAGUUUGUAUAUAUAUGUUCUUUUAAAUUCUAUCUUGACACUUCAGAUCUGAAAAAAAAANNNNNNNNNNNNNNNNNNNNNNNNNNNNNNNNNNNNNNNNNNNNNNNNNNNNNNNNNNNNNNNNNNNNNNNNNNNNNNNNNNNNNNNNNNNNNNNNNNNNNNNNNNNNNNNNNNNNNNNNNNNNNNNNNNNNNNNNNNNNNNNNNNNNNNNNNNNNNNNNNNNNNNNNNNNNNNNNNNNNNNNNNNNNNNNNNNNNNNNNNNNNNNNNNNNNNNNNNNNNNNNNNNNNNNNNNNNNNNNNNNNNNNNNNNNNNNNNNNNNNNNNNNNNNNNNNNNNNNNNNNNNNNNNNNNNNNNNNNNNNNNNNNNNNNNNNNNNNNNNNNNNNNNNNNNNNNNNNNNNNNNNNNNNNNNNNNNNNNNNNNNNNNNNNNNNNNNNNNNNNNNNNNNNNNNNNNNNNNNNNNNNNNNNNNNNNNNNNNNNNNNNNNNNNNNNNNNNNNNNNNNNNNNNNNNNNNNNNNNNNNNNNNNNNNNNNNNNNNNNNNNNNNNNNNNNNNNNNNNNNNNNNNNNNNNNNNNNNNNNNNNNNNNNNNNNNNNNNNNNNNNNNNNNNNNNNNNNNNNNNNNNNNNNNNNNNNNNNNNNNNNNNNNNNNNNNNNNNNNNNNNNNNNNNNNNNNNNNNNNNNNNNNNNNNNNNNNNNNNNNNNNNNNNNNNNNNNNNNNNNNNNNNNNNNNNNNNNNNNNNNNNNNNNNNNNNNNNNNNNNNNNNNNNNNNNNNNNNNNNNNNNNNNNNNNNNNNNNNNNNNNNNNNNNNNNNNNNNNNNNNNNNNNNNNAAAAAAAAACACAACUUUGUUAAGUAGCUUCUUAAUUAUGAAGCAGAUAUGUAUUACAUAUUGCGCAUAGAGAACUCCCGCAAAAAAAAUGUACAUAGAGAAGUUUGUUCCAUCUAGUGUUAUAGAAAGCUAGGAUGUCUUCGGGGAUAAGCUCUAGAAAAGUUGAACAUAAUAAAAUGAACAAAAGAAAGGGGCGUACGUAGUACUUUAAAAAAAUCAAUCUAUUCAUCUUCAAUCAUGACAAUACAACUGAAACCAGAAACAAUGAAAAUUACAUCCAGAUAUGUAGACUACAUAGCGACGACUACAAGCAUAGAAGCGAGCUGAAGGCGUGCCGCCGUCAUCGCCCCUCUCUCGCUGGAGUCGGUAAAACUUUUUGUUGUAAACAGUCGAGAAGUUAUCAUACUAAGGCCUCAUAGAACCAAACGUACGUACAUGAUCAACACCAAAUAAGAGAGCAUCUUUUCAGCUCAACGGACAUCAACCAACCAACAUCCUCUUGGUCCACCUGAUUUGUAACUUUAUAAGAGCAUCUCUGGCGAUACGCUAAAAAGCUUUAGAGGAGUAAAAACAUUUUUUUAUCCUCUAGCCAACACUUAGCCGAUCCCUUAUAAUCGUUAGAGGGGGUAAAAUUUUACUCCACGGCCUCCCCGACUCAUAAAAAUACUCCUCCGUGACUUCCUUCGCGUGCGUGGCCGCCUGGCGACUCGUGUGAAGCCCCCUUGUCAAGCACUCCCUCGACGGUGGCUUUGGGCCUCGCCGGCAACCUCGUCGGCGACCUUACAGCCCUUUUCCCUCGUCUGGCGUAGGCGCAGGCGCCGACGCAUGCUGGUGGAUACCUUCUCGUCUGCGACCGGCAGGCCGACGAGCACGAACCUUUCCAUGGCCGCCACGGUCGCCCGGCACUCUUUCUCCCGAAGCAGAGCCUCCACCGGCACCUCCCUCGUCCGGCCGGCGACGAGCGUCCCCGCCCAGUCCGUGACCAGCACCAUCCGGGCCGGCCGUUCAUCACCUCCAGCGCGUCGUCAGGUGCGACUGCCCGUCCCGGCUCCGGCGUGCCAGCCCGAAGUCCGCCACGCGCAUGCACUCCACGCCGUUGUGCAUGUAGUGUAUGUACUCCAGCCCCCUCGCUUCACGCCGUAGUGCAUGUAGAUCUUCGUAGUGGUAGAUCCCGGCUUCAUGCCGUAGUGCAUGUACUCCAGCCCCUCGCCACGUCGAGGAUCACGCUCCUCUGCUGCGCCCAUAGCAGCACCACCGAUCCGUCCGCGAUCACGCAGUGGUACAGGACGCCGAACCCGCCGCGGCCACACGGGUAACCGAAGGCUAGACACGGCGGUGAUCGGCAGCACCGACAAUGGUGACCGGGCACGUGACCUACUGCGACAUGCGUGUCCGACAUGCUCUCCGACGUUGAUGGUGUGGUCGCCAUCAUCGCUGCUUGCUGCAUAGCAAGUGUUUCAUGAAAUGCUUAAGCCAAAUAAAUUUUUACUCCGUUAAAUUUAGGGGGUCGGCUAGGAACGGCCAUUUUUUAAGGAGCAUAUCUGCUCGUUACUCGGCCGUUUACUCCUUUAGAAUUUAGGGGAUCGGCGAUGCCCUAGGGCAUAUCAGUUUCUGGAUCUUAGAGAGCAACGACACCCUGACCUCCUCUCCAUGUGAAGAACAUGGAGAGGCACAAACCUUGCAAUUAAAACCCAAACUACUAGAAAGCUAAUACUUUAAGAUGUAAAGAGGGGAGAAUGUGAUUAGUUUUCUUAUCUCAAAAGGGUAGGCUCCUCAAGAGCAAAAAAAUCUAUGAACUUGCACAAAUGUGCACAUUGGUCACGAACUUGCAAAGCUGAGAAAACAUGUGUCGAACCUGCCAGACUGUCUGAGGGGAUUACCAGCCUUAGAGAAGUUCAACAUAACAAAGCAAAACAAAAUAAAAGAGCGUACCUACUACUCUAUGAUCAACACCAAACAAGGGAUCAUCUUCUCAACCAACUUCCAUCAGCUAACACCGUCUUAGUCCACUUGAGUGGUUCGGCAUAUAUAGCAAGAUGUGGAUCUUAGAGAGCAACAACACCGUGACCGCCUCUGUUUUACCGGCAACCGGAUCUUCCAUUGCUGGCUUUGUGAAGAACAUGGUAAGGAGAGGCACAAACUUUGUGAUUAAAAUUUAGAAAGUUUUUUUUUUUAGGGAGUGCCAUCAUGGCAGUUUUUAUUUGAUAUCAAAUAAGGAUAUAUUGUUCAAUAAGGGAUAGAAUGGAGGAAGGCGUAUUAUUCAUCCACAAGCUCGAAGGAUUAACUCCGUUUGAGCGAAAGUUAAUAUGAGAUAGAGGGAGUAAUACUUAAGAUGUAAAGAAAAAAAAGGAAGAUGCAAUUAAUUGUCUUAUCUCAAAGGAAUGCAUACAUUAGCUGCAUUUGGAAUUAAUUGUUGUGGCCGGCUUAGUGGAACAAGUAAAAUCUCCACAACUAACUUGAUUCCAUCGUGAGGACAUCAAAGGUCAGAAACCGCCAAUAAUAAGUCUUUGGUAGAGAGUUUUGGGCCUUGCACUAGGGCUUUCUACAGGAUUUUGCCCAGGACCUGCCUCGGCCCUUGAUUGUGGGUGCAUAGGCUUUAACACGAUGCACACAAAUAAACUUGAAUGGAUUUCUUCAAAUGCAUAAAUAUGUAAAGCAUAAACUCAGGCGCCCACUAUUGCACUGCACAUUUGCGUUUCCUUAUUUCGUUGAAGAUCACAAAAGGUACAGUUGCCUUAAAUAUUGGUCGGUGCACGAACGAUUUACUAUAGACAAUUGUUCUAAAAUUACCAUAUGCUGCCUUAAAUAGCGCUGAUCUGGAACAAACCUCUUUUUUCUAAUGUUGAUACUGCAUACUGUCAAACUGAUUGCACAUCAGAUACAUCGUACAUGGAUCAUGAGGUCCUGGAGCGUAUACUUGAUGGAAGAGAGAAGCCGACAAAUCUAUCACUUGCACUUUUGAAGGAUAUCACAGAAAAUUUCUCAGAUGAUCGAGAAAUCGGUCACGGUGGAUUUGCAACUGUUUAUAAGGUAAAUUGCUUUUUAACCAUAAAUCAGGCAUAUGAUAUCUAGAGAUCGCACUUGGAAUUUUAUGUUGGCUUGAGCAGUCCCCGAGUUAGCAAAACUAUGUUAAUAAUCGGUGUUGCCAACUAGUAAAUACCAUAUAUAGAUGUUACAUUCGUCUGCAAGAUGCUACUUGAUUCUAGCAGUAUCUGGUAUAUAUUGAAGUCAGACAACCAGGUAUAUUCUUUGUGUCGUAUAUUACGGAAUUCUGUCCUAGGAUCGAACAUAGUAUCCAACAUUAAUUUGGAAAAUGGAACCGCCUUAAGGUUGUCAUGGAGCUACAAACCUUUUUCCUAGCAUAUAUGUGCAUGUGUGGUGGUGCAAUUGUACUGUAACAUUAGGGGUCUGUUUGGUUGGAGACUAGUGUGGCCAAGCCAAAGUGUGGCUAGCCACACAAGUAUGGCAAGCCACACAAGUGUGGCUGAGAAAUUGGACGCUAAACUUUGGCAAAAGUUGGCAAAAAAAUUGUCUCUAUGACAAGUGGGCCAUAGGGGCAAUAAAGUGUGGCAAAAAUCAAACACAUGCCAAUUAAACUGUGGCUACCAAAUGUUGGCUUGGCAAACUGUGGCUGGGAACCAAACAGCCCCUAGGUGUGCUCUCAGGGAAAAAGGGGCUUCCGUCGGUUGCUGCAUCCCAAACUUCUGUAUUAUCUUUCUUGCACAGUACCUUCAAAUUCAGCUAAACACUUUUUGAAUGCUCACAAGAGAAGUUAAACAGGGAGUGGUUCGUAAUGGGAACGUUGCUGUUAAAAGGAUAAGGAACAGUCAUUCAAUCAAUGAGACUUUAUUUUAUCGAGAAGUCGACAGCCUGUUGAACAUUAAACAUAAAAAUGUCGUACGCUUUCUUGGCUUCUGUGCUAGCACAGAUCAGAUAGCCAUACAAAUUGCAGGAUCAAAACGACAUAUUUAUGCUGAGGUAAGAGAAAGACUACUCUGUUUUGAGUAUAUCAGCAAUGGAAGUCUACAAAAGUAUGUUACUGGUACGUCAUUCUUGCAACAAGCUCUUAUUUUUACUAACUUAUCUUUAUUUUCCAGGAUCAAGAUGUGAUAUAUACAUUCAUAAUGCAAUUUAGCACAUGCACAAAUCAAAUGAUGGAAACUUUUAUGGCUCACUGUUACUUUUUGCAUUAUGUAGAUGAAUUAAGAGGACUGGAAUGGAAUACACGCUAUGGAAUAAUUAGAGGAAUCUGUGAAGGUUUGCAUCAUCUGCACACGGAGAAGCACAUAUAUCAUAUGGAUUUGAAACCUGGCAAUAUACUACUAGAUAAUGAUAUGGUGCCGAAAAUCACAGAUUUCGGUUUAUCAAGACUUGAUGAAAAGUCAAAAACCAUGAGUGAAGACCGUCUCGGAUCACUGUAAGCUAUGCAUCAAAACAUCAUAAUUUCUCGGCAUCUUCUUUCACAUUUUCUGAUGCUGUAAUACAUUGAAAUGCCGACCUUUUUUUGCAGAGGAUAUUGUGCUCCAGAGUACAUAUCUGAAGGGAAAAUGUCAUUCAAAUCAGACAUGUACAGUUUGGGCAAAAUAAUCAUUGAGCUAGUGACGGGAGGAAAGGAGAUCCUCAAUAAUAGCAACACUGUAAGAGGGUUCUAUCUCGCCAUGCAGACAAUCUUUUUUGUAGAAAUAUCCUAACUUUCUACCUUGCAUAUUGGUUACCAUUUUCUUAAUAAUCCUACUUAAUUUGCAUANNNNNNNNNNNNNNNNNNNNNNNNNNNNNNNNNNNNNNNNNNNNNNNNNNNNNNNNNNNNNNNNNNNNNNNNNNNNNNNNNNNNNNNNNNNNNNNNNNNNCGGUCCAAUUCCAUAGCUUGUCUUUCCUGUUUCAUGACCCACUGCAAGAACUUUCUUGGUACGGAUCCACAUUGGGCUUUAUGGAAACAUACCUUUAGUUCUUGAACCAGAGCGUGAAGAAGGAAAAUCAUGAUGCUCCGCCUACCAACUUAACCCAACUAUACGGGGGUUGGAGGGGAUUGGAGGGGAAUGAUCUCAUGGCCGAAUGGGUGAGCCGCCAUAUUCAGCCACUAAAAUUCUGAGGCAAGUGUAUGUAGUAUGCACACCUAUGAGAUAAUCAAUGACUCCAUCCGAGUGAACUUGCAAGAACUCACUCAAGAAUAAAUUGAACAGAAGAUGAGGCACAUAACUAUGAUGCAUGACAAAAUCUGUAUGCAAGGUUGAGUGCCUCCUUAUUAUGCUGACCACCUCCUUUUAAUAGAGAACCUGAACAAAGCAUUAACACACGGUGAAUACAUGAACUCCUCAAACUAUGGUCAUCACCGGGAGUGGUCUCGACUAUUGUCACUCCGGGGUUGCCGGGUCAUAUCACGUAGUAGGUGACUAUAACUUGCAAGAUCGGAUUUAGAACAUGGAUAUAAUGGUGAUAACAUAAAUGGUUCAGAUCUGAAAUCAUGGCACUUGGGCCCAAAGUGACAAGCAUUAAGCAUGGCAAAGUCAUAGCAACAUCAAUCUCAGAACAUAGUGGAUACUAGGGAUCAAGCCCUAACAAAACUAACUAGAUUACAUGAUAAAUCUUAUCCAACACCUCACCGACCAGCGAGCCUACGAAGGAAUUACUCACUCCCGGUGGGGAGCAUCAUGGAAUUAGCGAUGGAGAAGGGUUGGUGAUGACGAAGAUCGAAGAUCCACCUCUCCGGAGCCGCACCCAGGUUUUCAGCCAACAUCAUAACUAACCAUGCCGACAAUAACUCUUAAAAAUUAUAUUAACUCAUAUCAAUGACAUAAUCAGCUAGCGAGCAAUAAUAGGACAUCUCAAACGGCAACACGUUAUCAAAACAACCAUGAUAUAAUAUGACAAUAGUGGUAUCUCACUAGCCCUUUCUGAGACCACAAAAUAUAAAUGCAGAGCACCUCCAAAGUCCAAGCAGCAACUAAACAUUGUAAUUCAUGGUAGAAAAGAUCCAGUCGUGAUGCUCCCAACAUUAGCUACACACAAUGCAUCAGCAUGAUAACAGUGCUCUCAGGUUCUGGCGCUUGUUUUAGAAGGUGAUGACACAACAUAAAAGUAAAUAGAUAGUCCCUUCGCAUAGGGAAGCAGUGAUUUGCAGCGGUGCCAGAGCUCAAGUUUUUAAAACAGAGGUAAAUGAUAUUUUGAGACAUGCACCCUUCUUGUUUACUUCACGACCAUCAGUUAUCAAUAUCUUCCAUGCUAAGCACGCUAGUGGCGGUUCCCAGGCGAUAAAAGUAAAGGUUAUGACUCCGUUUGGAGUUUUUGUUUGAUUAUUUGAAAGAUCAAUUCUUUUUGCAGUUUGGGACUGGGCAUCCCUAUUACCGCCCUUUUCUCGUGCGAUGGUGAGUGAAUAAACACUCAUCCUGAGAAUAACCCGCUUAGCAUGGAAGAUACCGACUACCUCCUGUUGUUCCAUGAACGAUCCAGGCACACAAAAAGGAUAUUUGUUUGAAGUUUUUAGAGGUGGCACAUGCAAAUUUACUUAGGACGGCAGGGUAAUACCGCAUAUAGGUAGGUAAGUGGACUCAUCUGGAAUAACUUGGGUUCAAGGUUUUUGAUGUACAAGCAGAAUUCCCACUUAGUAUAGGCGAAGGCUUUUGGGAAACGUAGUAAUUCAAAAAAAUCCUACGAUAACGCAAGAUUUAUCUAGGAGAUGCAUAGCAAUGAGAGGGAAGAGUGUGUCCAUGUACCCUCGUAGACCGAAAGCGGAAGCGUUUAGUAAUGCGGUUGAUAUAGUCGAAUGUCUUCAAGAUCCAACCGAUCCAAGUACCGAAUGUACGGCACCUCCGUGUUCAGCACACGUUCAGCACGAUGACGUCCCUCGAGCUCUUGAUCCAGUAGAGGGUCGAGGGAGAGUUCCAUCAGCACGACGGCGUGGCAACGGUGUUGGUGAUGUGAUCUGCGCAGGGCUUCGCCUAAGCACUACGACAAUAUGACCGAGGUGGUAAACUGUGGAGGGGGGCACCGCACACGGCUAAGAAACAAGUGUGUGUCUUUGGGUCCCCCCCCCCCCGCCCACGUAUAUAAAGGAGGGGGGAGGAGGAGGCUGGCCCAAGGGGGGCGCGCCAUGAGGGGGGAGUCCUACUAGGAAUCCAUUCCUAGUAGGAUUCGGCCCCCCCUCCUUCCAUCUAACGGAGAGGGGAAAGGGGAAGGGAGAGAGGGAGAAGGAAAGAGGGGGGCCGCACCCCCUCCCCUUGUCCAAUUCAGAUUGGGGCAAGGGGGCACGCGCCACAUCCUGUGGCCUGCCUCCUUUCGUCCACUAUGGCCCAAUAGGCCCAUUAACUUUCCCCGGUGGUUCCGGUAACCUCCCGGUACUCCGAAAAAUCCCCGAUCCUCUUCGGAACCAUUCCGGUGUCCGUAUAUAACCUUCCAAUAUAUCAAUCUUUACCUCUCGACCAUUUCGAGACUCCUCGUCAUGUCCGUGAUCUCAUCCGGGACUCCGAACAAACUUCGGUCACCAAAACACAUAACUCAUAAUACAAAUCGUCAUCGAACGUUAAGCGUGGACCCUACGGGUUCGAGAACUAUGUAGACAUGACCGAGACACAUCUCCGGUCAAUAACCAAUAGCGGAACCUGGAUGCUCAUAUUGGCUCCUACAUAUUCUACGAAGAUCUUUAUCGGUCAAACCGCAUAACAACAUACGUUGUUCCCUUUGUCAUCGGUAUGUUACUUACCUAAGAUUCGAUCGUCGGUAUCAUCAUACCUAGUUCAAUCUCAUUACCGGCAAGUCUCUUUACUCAUUCCAUAAUGCAUCAUCCCGCAACUAACUCAUUAGUCACAUUGCUUGCAAGGCUUAUAGUGAUGUGCAUUACCGAGAGGGCCCAGAGAUACCUCUCCAAUACACGGAGUGACAAAUCCUAAUCUUGAUCUAUGCCAACCCAACAAACACCUUCGGAGACACCUGUAGAGCAUCUUUAUAAUCACCCAGUUACGUUGUGACGUUUGAUAGCACACAAGGUGUUCCUCCGGUAUUCGGGAGUUGCAUAAUCUCAUAGUCAGAGGAACAUGUAUAAGUCAUGAAGAAAGCAAUAGCAAUAAAACUAAACGAUCAUUAUGCUAAGCUAACGGAUGGGUCUUGUCCAUCACAUCAUUCUCUAACGAUGUGAUCCCGUUCAUCAAAUGACAACACAUGUCCAUGGUCAGGAAACAUAACCAUCUUUGAUUAACGAGCUAGUCAAGUAGAGGCAUACUAGGGGCACUCUGUUUUGUCUAUGUAUUCACACAUGUACUAAGUUUCCGGUUAAUACAAUUCUAGCAUGAAUAAUAAACAUUUAUCCUGGUAUAAGGAAAUAUAAAUAACAACUUUAUUAUUGCCUCUAGGGCAUAUUUCCUUCAAAGGCUAGCAAAUAGGUUGAGAAGCGGCCAGCUAGAGAGCAACAAUGGUCAUGAACAUGCAUUAUGCAUAAGUAACAUUGGACACUAGCAUGAGUAGGAUAUGAACACCAUGAACAUAAAUAUCAUAGAGGCUAUGUUGGUUUUGAUUCAACUACAUGCGUGAACAUGUGCCAAGUAAAGCCACUCGAACAUUUAAAGGAGGAUACCAUAUCAUCAUACUAUAUCACAAUCAUUUUAAUGCAAUAUUGACAUCCAAGAUAGAUCAUUAUCCACCCCUAGCUACUUACGCAUGGCAUGAGAUACUAUAAUCUCUACUUGUCAUUGCAAACAUGUUUAAUCAUAAUGGGCUGAAUCAUGGAUACUAGGUUAAACAUAUUUAAAAAACAGAACAAGUCGAGUUCAUACCCGUUUCUCUCUGCCACGGCCAGUUCAUCGAAUAUCGUCAUUAUUGCUUUCACUUGCACGACCGAACAAUGUGAAAAUAAUAAUAAUGCAAGAGUGUCGUGGACUAAGCUGGAAUCUGCAAACAUUUUAUUCAACAGGAGAAGACAAGGUAAAAUGGGCUCUUUGUUAGAUCAACAAUUAUGCAUAUGAGAGUCACUCAACAUUUUCAUCGUGGUCUUCUCCUUGGUACAACUCAAUAAAAAAAGGAAUUCAGAUAAACACACUGAAAUAUUUUUGGAGUUUUUGGUUUUCUUGAACAAGCAAAUAAAAGGGAAAAGCAAAAACAAGAAAAACUAUUUACACGGGAGAGCUCCCAACAGGAAAAAAAAGAACAAGGAAAUCUUUUGGGUUUUCUUUUUAGUGCUAUAGCUAACUACUCUAGAAAGAAAAUUCAAAAUGAAGCAGGAAAUAUUUUUGUAUUUUCUCAAGUUUUUUCAAACACGCAAAAAGAAAGCGAGAAAAUAAAUUUAACAUGGAUAAUACAAUGAAAGAGUGUGGGCACCGACAACUGGAAUGAAAUGCGUGAACAUGAAUGUAAUGUCGGUGGUAAUACGUACUCCCCCAAGCUUAGGCUUUUGGCCUAACUUGGUAAUCAGUCAGUAGUCGAAGAAACCAUGGGGUCCCAUAUCGAACGGCUGAGGAGCGGGCAGGUCCCACUGCUGAGGCUCCUCCUCUGCUGCAGCCUGGUUGUUACAGUAGGCUAUGAUGUUCGCAGGCAUAAUCCUGUAUCCACCCCUGGCAAUAGGAUCAAACAAAGCAGGUGCAGGCAAUAGAAUAAUAUCACGAGUUCUCACACUGAAAACCAGGUUAUACGGAAUAGGGAUGUUAGGGUAAUCAGUAGCAAUAAAUUGGUGGUGUUCCAUGGCCGCGCGAUCUAGGUAAACCAUGGGCAAAGGAUAAUCAUGCAAGUGUAUCUCAACAUUAAAGUGAGCCGCCAAACGAGUAGCGUAAAUACCACCGUGUAUUUUUCCCUUGGAUUUAUUAAUGUGAAGGCGACGUGCCACAAUAGCUCCCAAGCUAUCGCCCUCAAGUGCAUGACGUAAAACAACAAGGUCUAGGGCACUGAGUGCACCCACCUUCUCUCUGGCAAGCAAGCAUUUUGCAAUGAAAAAGAGUAAAAUAAUGAACAACGGGAAAAUGCAAGCCAGGGGCGGUGAUACUCGACACCCCUCUCUCAUCACACACUGUCAAAGUACGAUAAAAACCCUCAAACUCCUUAGGCCUAGGCUCUACUAAACCUCCAUCAGAAGGAAGCAAGCAUAUUUCAUAGAACACAGUAAGCGGUGUCUGAUGGGGUUCGGCAUAUAAAUUAAACUGCACCUCAGGAGGAUUAUUCCUAGGAAGGAAAGUAAAACUUUGAACAAAGGUGUUUGUGAGGAGAUGAUACUGCUCACAUUCAGCUGCGAUGAAGUCGGUGAGGCCGGCAUUAGCAGCAUAUUGUGCAAACUCUUGAAGGAUUCCAGCCCCUUCCAUGAACGGGGUAUGCAGCCAUUCGCACGGACGUACUUCCGCCAAUCUCCGGGUAUGGAGACCACUGUCAGACGACUCCCCAAUAACUCCCUUGGAGCUCUUCUUGGAAGCAAACUUCCUAAAGAUACUCAUUUUUUCCUAAAAACAAAAUUAUGAAUUUUUUUAGGCCACAAAUUUUUCUCAACAAAACUUUACAAGAUUGAUAGAAACUACUCAUAGGGAUGCCUAGAGGCCAUAGCAAGCAUUCAAACUACUUAGAACUCCAAGAGCGCGAAGUGGUGUGAAGGAAUAAGUGAGGAGGGCACGUGGGGACCACAACCCACCAGAGCGCGCCUGGGGGUCCUGGCGCGCCCAGGUGGGUUGUGCCCACCUGGUGCACCUCCCUCUGAUGUUAUUUGCACCAAAAAUUCUUAAAUAAUCGGGAAAAAANNNNNNNNNNNNNNNNNNNNNNNNNNNNNNNNNNNNNNNNNNNNNNNNNNNNNNNNNNNNNNNNNNNNNNNNNNNNNNNNNNNNNNNNNNNNNNNNNNNNNNNNNNNNNNNNNNNNNNNNNNNNNNNNNNNNNNNNNNNNNNNNNNNNNNNNNNNNNNNNNNNNNNNNNNNNNNNNNNNNNNNNNNNNNNNNNNNNNNNNNNNNNNNNNNNNNNNNNNNNNNNNNNNNNNNNNNNNNNNNNNNNNNNNNNNNNNNNNNNNNNNNNNNNNNNNNNNNNNNNNNNNNNNNNNNNNNNNNNNNNNNNNNNNNNNNNNNNNNNNNNNNNNNNNNNNNNNNNNNNNNNNNNNNNNNNNNNNNNNNNNNNNNNNNNNNNNNNNNNNNNNNNNNNNNNNNNNNNNNNNNNNNNNNNNNNNNNNNNNNNNNNNNNNNNNNNNNNNNNNNNNNNNNNNNNNNNNNNNNNGGAGAUUUUUCAAUAACAUUAAUACCAUUCACUUGGAAUUGUUUCUUCGGAAGUGCACUGUAUGCUCAUUACCAUUGAUAUGAAAAGUGACCUUGCUUUUAUUGCAAUCAAUAACAGCCCCUGCAGUAUUCAAGAAGGGUCUACCAAGGAUAAUAGACAUGCUGUCACCCUCGGGCAUCUCAAGUAUAACAAAGUCAGUCAAAAUAGUAACAUUAGCAACAACAACGGGCACAUCCUCACAAAUACCGAUAGGUAUGGCAGUUGACUUAUCAGCCAUUUGCAAAGAUAUUUCAGUAGGUGUGAGUUUAUUCAAAUCAAGUCUUUUAUAUAAAGAGAAAGGCAUAACACUAACACCGGCUCCCAAAUCACAUAAAGCAGUUUUCACAUAAUUUCUUUUGAUGGAGCAAGGUAUAGUUGGCAUUCCCGGAUCUCCAAGUUUUUUAGGUACUCCGUCUUUGAAAGUAUAAUUAGCAAGCAUAGUGGAGAUUUCAGCUUCUGGUAUUUUUCUUUUAUUGGUGAUGAUGUCUUUCAUAUACUUUGCAUAAGGAGGCAUUUUUAAGAUAUCAUUCAAGCGAGUACGCAAAAAGACUGGCCUCAGCAUUUCAACAAAGCGUUCAAAUUCCUCAUCAUCUUUCUUUUUAGUUGACUUAGGUGGAAAGGACAUAGGUUUUUGAACCCACGGUUCUCUUUCUUUACCGUGUUUUCUAGCAACAAAUUAUCUUUUAUCAUAUCUUUUAUUCUUGAGUUGUGGGUUAUCAACAUCAUUGUCUGGUUCUUUACUAUCUGGUUGAGUGUCUUCAUGAACCUAAUCAUUAUCUUUUUCAUUAUUAGAAGGUAAGUGUUCACUACCAGAUUGAGUUCCAGCAUCAGAGAUAAAAAUUUCAUUAUCAUUGUCAGGAGGUUUUUCUACUUCAGGUUCACUAGAAGCAUGCUAAGGCCUAUCAUUUUUCUUCUUCUUCUUCUUUUUCUUUUUAGAAGGACUACGUUCAUCAGUGUUACCUCUUUGAGAGUCUUGUUCAAUCUUUUUGGGUGUCCCUCGGGAUAAACUGGUUCCUGAGUCAUCCUACCUCCUCUAGUCAUUACUCUAACAACAUGAUCAUUCAUAUUAUUAUUCAUUUCAUCAAGCAACUCUCUUUGAGAUUUAGCAACUUGUUCUAACUGAGUUUGAACCAUAGAAGCAUGCUUCCCCACACCUCUAACAUCAUUUGAGAUUCUAAAUAACAAAUCACUCAAGCGAGCAAUCAUAUCAGAAUUGUAUUUCAGUUGUUUCAUAACAUUUGCAUUGAAGUGAUCUUGUUUUCUAAUGUAAUUUUCAAACUCAUAAAGGCAUUGGCUAGGGUGCAUAUUGUGUGGAUUGUCAUUAUCAUUGAAUUUCAUUAGAGAAUUUACCUCUACUACCUUAGGUGGCGGUGGUGUAUUAAGCCCAUGUAUUUCUUCAAUAGGAGGUAAAUUUUUAACAUCCUCAGCUUUAAUACCUUUUUCAUUCAUAGAUUUCUUUGCCUCUUACAUAUCUUCAGGACUGAGGUAUAAUAUACCCCUCUUCUUCGGAGUGGGUUUAAGCGGUGGUUCAGGAAGAGUCCAAUCAUCAUAAUUUUUCAAUAUGUUAUUCAAUAAUUCUUCAGCUUCCCAAUAGUUCGCUCCCUGAAAACACAACCAGCACAACUAUCUAGGAAAUCCCUAGAAGCAUCGGUUAGUCCAUUAUAGAAGAUAUCAAGUAUUUCAUUUUUCUUAAGAGGAUGAUCAGGCAAAGCAUUAAGCAAUUAGCAAAUCCUCCCACAAGUUUGUGGGAGACUCUCUUCUUUAAAUUGCACAAAGUUAAAUAUUUCCUGUAAGGCAGCUUGUUUCUUAUGAGCAGGGAAAUAUUUUUCAGAGAAGUAAUAAAUCAUAUCCUGGGGACUACGCACACAACCAGGAGCAACAAUAUUGUACCAAGCUUUAGCAUCACCCUUUAAUGAGAACGGAAAUAAUUUGAGAAUAUAGUAAUAGCAAGUUUUCUCAUCAUGAGUAAAAAGGGUGGCUAUGUCAUUCAACUUACUAAGAUGUGCCACAACAGUUUCAGUUUCAUAACCAUGGAAGGGAUCAGAUUCAACCAAAGUAAUUAACUCUGGGUCGACAGAGAAUUCAUAAUCCUUAUCAUUAAUAAAGAUAGGUGAAGUAGCAAACUUAGGAUCAUAUUACAUUCUAGCAUUCAGAGAUUUUUCUUUAUACUUGCAUAAUAAUUUCUCUAGAUCAUCUCUAUCCUUACAAGCAAGAAUAUCUCUAGUUGUCUCCUCAUUCAUAACAUAACGUUCCGGUACUUUUGGCUAUUCAUAUCUAGGAGGGCUAGUUCUAGUAGGUGUUUCAAGUUUUUCAGUUUCAAGCUCAUCAUCAGAUUCAACAACAUCAUGUUGUCUUACUCUAGCAAUUUGUUCAUCAAGAAAUUCACCUAGUGUCACAUCAUCAUCAUCAAGCAAGGUACUAGCAUCAUCAUAAGUAUCAUUCAUAGCAGAAGUAGCAUCAUCAAUAACUUGCGACAUAUCAGGAUUAAUGACAUGUGGUGGUGUUGCAAGUUUACUUAUAACAGAAGGUGAAUCUAAAGUAGACCUAGAUGGCAGUUCCUUACCUCUCCUCGUCUUAGAGGGAUAGAUCUUAGUCUUAGCAUCCUUCAGAUUCUUCAUAGUGAUAAAUUGAUAAUAAUCCCAAGUGACUCAAAAAAUAUAGCUAUGCUCCCCGGCAACGGCGCCAGAAAAAGGUCUUGAUAACCCACAAGUAUAGGGGAUCGCAAUAGUUUUUAAGGGUAGAGUAUUCAACCCAAAUUUAUAGAUUCGACACAAGGUGAGCGAAAGAAUAUUUGUAAGUAUUAGCAGCUGAGUUGUCAAUUCAACCACACCUGGAGAUUAAUUAUCUGCAGCAAAGUGAUCAGUAGCACAGUAGUUUGAUAGUUUUGAUAGUAGUAGCAACAGCACUAGUAACGGUAAUAGUGAUAGCAGUGAUUUUGUAGCAAGUGCAACAGUAACAAUAGCAGUAACAAUAUGUAGGAAAAUCAUAGGCAUUGGAUCGGUAAUUUGUUGGAUAAUAUUCAUCAUGUGACAGUCAUAACCUAGGGCGAUAUGGCACUAGCUCCAGUUCAUAAAUAUAAUGUAGGCAUGUAUUCCGUAAAUAGUCAUACAUGCUUAUGGAAAGAAUUUGCAUGACAUCUUUUGUCCUACCCUCCCGUGGCAGCGGGGUCCAAUUGGAAACUAAGGGAUAUUAAGGCCUCCUUUUAAUAGGGAACCGGAACAAAGCAUUAACACACGAUGAAUACAUGAACUCCUCAAACUACGGUCAUCACCGGGAGUGGUCCCGACUAUUGUCACUCCGGGGUUGCCGGAUCAUAACACGUAGUAGGCAACUAUAACUUGCAAGAUCGGAUCUAGAACAUGGAUAUAAUGGUGAUAACAUAAACGGUUCAGAUCUGAAAUCAUGGCACCCGGGCCCAAAGUGACAAGCAUUAAGCAUGGCAAAGUCAUAGCAACAUCAAUCUCAGAACAUAGUGGAUACUAGGGAUCAAGCCCUAACAAAACUAACUAGAUUAGAUGAUGAAUCUCAUCCAACUCCUCACCAACUAGCGAGCCUACGAAGGAACUACUCACUCCCGGUGGGGAGCAUCAUGGAAUUAGCGAUGGAGAAGGGUUGGUGAUGACGAAGAUCGAAGAUCCCCCUCUCCGGAGCCGCAAACGGACUCCAUAUCUGGCCUCCCGAUGGAGAACAUGAGGUGACGGCGGCUCCGUCUCGUGGAAUGCAAUAAUUCUUUCUCCCUGAUUUUUUUCUGGAAAUAUGUGAUUUUAUAGCGUCGGUUCCAGGGUCUGCGGGGCCACCAGGUGGGGACAACCCACCUGGGUGCGCUUGGGGGGGCAGGCGCUCCCUGGUGGGUCGUGCCCACCCAGGUGCCCCCCUCCGGUGGUUCUUGGCUCCAGAAAUUCUCUUUAUUGAUAUACAAAAUCCUCGCAAAGUUUCGUUCCAUUCCGAGAACUUUAUUUCUGCACAAAAACAACACCAUGGUAGUUCUGUUGAAAACAGCGUCAGUCCAGGGUUAGUUUCAUUCAAAUCAUGCAAAAUAGAGUCCAAAACAAGAGGAAAAGAGUUAGGAAUAGUAGAUAUGUUGGAGACGUAUCACUCUUCAUCUGUCGCGGCUUUGUCAUGGUAUGGUGGAAUCAACGAUUUGUCUCCAGUCCAAGAGGUACAAAACAUAACAAUUCGGUCCAAGCGAAAAAAAAUGAUCAUUCCAAGUAAAAGGGAGGAAAUUCACAUAUGCGCCAUGAGCUCUUUCUUCUCCCUCGUUCAUAGCAACAAAGAUUUGUCGUCAGUCUGGUCAAAGGAAAAAUGAUUCAAUGAUAGUUCGAGUGACCGGCAAAAUGAUUUGGCGUACUGAAAAGUAAAGAAGUCCAAGUGAGUGUUAGACCGAUCAAAUGUAAUUUGAUGGCAUGGUCAUAGAUGAGCAUAAGUUUUUGCGUCUCCCUUGUCCAUUGCAUCAUCAAUUUGUCGCUAUUCGAAAGGUAUGAAAAAGAAUGAUUCAGCAUCAAUCUAAGCGGAAGGAAAAAAAUGUGAGAAAGAUCAUAGAUGAACCAUGAGCUUCUGCUCCUCCCUCGUCCAGCGCAGAAAGGAUUCGCCAUCGGUCCGGGUCCAAGAGAUAAGAAAAAGUGAUUACAGUCUGAGAUGAAAGACAAUAAUAGCCGAGCAGUCACAAUAGNNNNNNNNNNNNNNNNNNNNNNNNNNNNNNNNNNNNNNNNNNNNNNNNNNNNNNNNNNNNNNNNNNNNNNNNNNNNNNNNNNNNNNNNNNNNNNNNNNNNNNNNNNNNNNNNNNNNNNNNNNNNNNNNNNNNNNNNNNNNNNNNNNNNNNNNNNNNNNNNNNNNNNNNNNNNNNNNNNNNNNNNNNNNNNNNNNNNNNNNNNNNNNNNNNNNNNNNNNNNNNNNNNNNNNNNNNNNNNNNNNNNNNNNNNNNNNNNNNNNNNNNNNNNNNNNNNNNNNNNNNNNNNNNNNNNNNNNNNNNNNNNNNNNNNNNNNNNNNNNNNNNNNNNNNNNNNNNNNNACCCGGCCAGAAUUGUGUCGUGGUGCUCAUUUUUUAGAAAUUUGCUUCAAAAUUUUCUAGAAAAAUUAAGUUUUUGAUCAAACAGCGACCAAAAAUGUAUUAUGUUGUAUUUUUUUAUUAUAUUUUUCAAAAAGAGUUCAAACUUUCCUAGAAUUAUAAUCAUGGUAGGCCUCAUUUUUUAGAAAAAUUGCUCAAACAAGAUGCACGUCUUCGAAUUGAUGGUUAGAAAAAUAAAAUGGUACAAAUGUACGGCUGCUUGCAUGCGUGGAAACAUAAAUUGUAAAUAUUGUAUAGAAUGUGCAAAUGUACGGUCGCUUGCAUGCGUGGAGACAUAAAUUGCAGCCAAUGUGUAAAAUGUGCAAUCACUUAAUUAAUAUAUCAGAUGAAAAAUAAAUAUAUUGCCAAAUCAUACAAGGGAUAGAUGCCCGUGUACAUGCACAUAGUCUAAGCACAAUUCCAUCUUUGCAUUCAACGCGACACAACAGGCAUGUGAAGCUUAAUGAGCUAGUUAGGAGAAUAUUUUCAUGGCUCGUAGCCGAGUAGAUAGGUCGAUCUCCAAGACCAUAGAUGAGGGAGCCGGGCAUUUCAUGAUCUUGUGCAUCUCUUUCGUCUCCAGGUCAAGCAAAAUAAGCAUAAUAUGAAAUUCUCUUAGCACACCAAUAGAGCGUUGGUUUGUCUGUAGCAACACGGCAUUGGUCUUCUCGCUGGAGCACCUAAACCAUAUCCUCAUAUGACCUAUGAGAGAGACUCCUUGGUCCAGUGGCCACAACUUCUGCUCCACAUCGAUCAUGGUCUCCAAGGCCCAACCACCUCCUGGGAGCUGAUGCCACAUGGAGAUGAUGAACCCGUCGGUGAUGAGCAGCCUUAGUAGCAUGUGUCCAUCCGGGGAGGAGUACGACCCUAGGUGGAACUGGCGUGAUUCUUCGUAGCUGGUGACGGGGCUGGGGAGGUCUAUCAUGCCGGGUUCUCUGUGCACACGUUGUAGCUGAGAAUCUCGCCGCCAUGCCACGGCAGCCAGUGGAUGAGACCACCGUGGAGGACGACAGUCGUGGUACCACGACCCGUUUGGAACCACCGUUGCAGCUGGGUGAAGUCCUCGUGGAUCAUGCAUGAUGGGUCCCCAGGCACGGGCUGAAGACUUGAAUAUCUGGACUAUGAUGGCAGGUGUAGUGUUAGUGCUGGUGCCGGAUGAUCUUUUCAAGGUCGCUAACGAAUAACCAAAAAGAGGAGUUGAUGCCAUCAGCUGCGGUGAGCAAGACACACUUGUGAAAGUAUCCAAUAUGAUUAGGGAUGCUUGGUGGCACUGAAAGAAAGGUGCGUUGUCCGGUGAUGACGUCGUACACACACAAGUCGGACCCGUUGUUUCUCACACGUUGACGGCGUAGGAGGACAAAGCCGCCGCGGGACGUCACGGGGUAGUACUCUCCAAGGAUGUCAUCCAGAUUGCACGAUACGAAAGAGGGUCGGCGAAGCAUCAUCCAUGUUGCUGGGGGUGCUGAGGUAGGCGAGGAUGCACGGGGGCACGAUGCUUUGCUGGCCGCAGGUGACACGGCGGAUGAAGGGCGGGCUAAGGAUGUCGCGGAGGAGGAGCUUGCUUGUUGCGGCACAGCGGACGAGGGAGCAUGCGUCGGAGCACGCGAUGAUCUCGAGCAGGAGAUCCGCAGGGAGUGUCCACUCAGUCUCUGUUGCUGAUGACUCCGGAGCCUCCGGCGUGCAUGCAUUUUCUCGUCGGCGUUUCAGCGGAUCCAUCGCGGUCGUGUAUGAAGCGGACGAUUGCUAAUCUGAUAUUCUGAUGAGGCAAUCCAGCCCCUGGUAGCUUUUGUACACCACUAGCUGCAUGUAACGAGAGCUGAACCGGCAAGCAGAAUACUAGACCGGUUCGGAUUCGACCAAUUGCGUGACGCAUAUAUAGAAAGGGUUCUGGUUAUAGUCUUUCUAUGGUAUAUCUUACAUUCUUAAGAAGUUGCUCCUCACUCCUACCAAUUCUCUCUAUAUGCACACUAUCCACAUCAUCAUCAUGCCACAUCAGCAUUCAGUUUCCAAGCUAUACAAUCGAUCGGUACAUCUCUCUGCUCGUUUACCUCAAUACGUACAAUUAACCCGCACGCUCAGGUUCUCCUUCCGGCUUCCCGAGCCGCGCUUUAAUUAAUUUGGAAGCCCAAACGAGCAGGUUGGCCUGCACCCGGCUCCCUUCCCCUCCUUGGACGCCGCAUAUUCUUCUCAUUAUUCUCUCAUCUCUUCCACUUCACCUCCCAGCUCCCCUCCGAUUUCUGCAAUCCCCUCAUCCUACGCCGCACCAAGGCACUGCCUACUGUUUCACGAUUCCUGCAACUCAACGCCGCCAUCUCCUGAUUUGAUUGUAGGCAUCAUCUUUUCCGUCGAAGGAGUGAUCAUGCGGCCAUCUCCACGCAGUCGAAUCAGCUUGUGUGCACGCCAUUCGUCUGCUCUGGGCCCUCCUCGCAUCGGAGACCUCGGACGCAACGCUCCGCUCCGAACCUUCCUCGCGCUGGCGUCAUCGGACGCACCAGAUGCGGCCAUCGCCGUUGCGGCCCCGAUUCUAGCGGGACGCUCUACUCUAGGCCUGCCGGCGGCCUCGGAUGCGCCGGCCAUCCCCGCGCAGCCCCAUGAGCCUGUGCGCACGAGUUGCUUUGCUCAGGGAUCUCCUCUUGCUGAUGGUCUCAGAUGCACCAGACGCGGCCAUCCCCGCCGCGGCCGGUCCCAGCGGGAUGAGUUCUGGAAGGAGAAGCUCGCUGACCCGCUGCCUCCUAGUCGUCGCUAUCAACGCCCGCAAGCACAACCCGAAGAAGAGCGUGAUCAUCUCUUCUCCUCAUGAUUGGGCUAAUUUUUUUUCAAUAAUACACUUUUUUUUUAAUAAUUUAGAGAAAUAUUACGCCCGUUUGUAUUAUUUUUAAAAAUAAUACAGCGUCUUCAGUCGGCCACGCGUAAGCCGAUAGGCCUCAAUCGGCCGUGGGUAGGCCGACAGUGGCCAUCCCACGAUCACUGCCGCUCCACUAGGCCUGCGGAGCGUCCAGUCGGCCGUGGGUAAGCCGAUAGGGCCCAGUCGGCUUCGCGGAGGCCGACAGGAGGCUGGUAAUUAGAUUAGCCAGUGAUGGCGGCCAGCUCCUCCAUCACCUCCGGGUCCACGUGCUCGCCUGUCAGGUCCGAGAUCUCGAACCGCACGCGCUGCCGCCGCCGGGGACUCGGCCUCGUAUAUAUGGCCUGCAGCAACUCCAGUGUGUCCGAUUUGUCGCCGUCUGUGGUCGCCGUGGCCGCGCGCACCACGAUGCAGCCGGCUCCUGCACCAGCAGCCGCCCCGUACGUCCGCGCCAGGUCGUUGGGCCGCCUCACCACGGACAUCCGGCCCUCGACGGCCGACGCGUACGUGGAUCAUAUAUACGGUCAGUGUGUCAGUCUCUGCUAAUUGCCGGAGUUGCUACAAGUCACUAAUUGCUAUGGUGGCCGUCCAAUCACUCGAUGCAUGCAUGUCCAAGUUAAUUGUCUAGGCGAGCGAUCAAUCAUCACGGCAUGCAUGCAUGCAUGUAGUAAUACGCAGCAGUAGUAAUUUGCAUGCACGAGGCUAGCUAGCUCUGUAUGUUCCUGUAUCGAAGCCGCGCCCGGUCAUCCUCGUCUACAAACGCAAAGCUCUAAUCUAAUUACCAGCCUCCUGUCGGCCUCCGUGAAGUCGACUGGGCCAUAUCGGCUUCUUACCCACGGCCGAUUGGACGCCCAGCAGGCCGAGAGGAGCAGCAGUGACGUGGGAUGGCCACUUGUCGGCCUACCCAUGGCCGAUUGAGGCCUAUCGGCUUACCCAUGGCCGACUGAAGCCAGUCGGCUUCCUGGUGGCCGAUGCUGUAUUAUUACGGCGUAAUAUUUUUCUAAAUUAUUAAAAAAAAGUGUAUUAUUUUAAAAAAAUUAGCCAUGAUUGGCCCGUAUCUUCAUUCACUUAUUAGCUGUUGUAGUUUUGGACUUCUUGUGGUGCUUUGGAUGAUUAGUGUUCGUUCAUUUUUGUUGGAUUUCUGUGGUCUGUACUGGUUUGAUGAAGAUAGAUCGAUAUCAAUGGUGAGCUUGGGCCUCUGAUCUGUUCUGUUUGCUCGCUUCAUGAUUUGCUUGAUUUAGUCUUGUGAUGUGGUAUUCGUAUGUUUCUAGGCGCUUGAAGAUAGGUCUGAGGUGCUUGCUAGCUUCAACUGGGCGAGGACGGCGACCUACGGACUACGGCAAGAAUUCUUCUGCAGUUGAAGGUCAUGUACCCCUGUUGUUCUUCAGUAGUUUUUUCCCUGUGCAACCGUACAUGUUACAGGCACACACUGUUCCUAUACCUUGCUACUUUUUUAACCAUGCAGGAGAACUACAUGUCAUAUAUUGAGACAGAAAGCAAGUACAAGGGUAAACGGUGAUGACCGGGGCAAAACAGGGAGCAGAAGCCUAAGUGCUUUGCCCAAGAGACAAAACAGGGAGCAGGGAGCCUAAUUGCUUUGCUCCAGCCUGAACCCAUAAAUGACAUUCAGAUUUAUAAAAUCAACAAGCUUUAGAAGUGGAAAAUGGGCAAUGUGAAAGACUAUAUUGUUCGCUCAUUCUAGAUGGACCAAACGACCAAGGCGACUACAGAGUUAAACCAUUUUUUCCUUGCUGUUCCGAAGAGUUGAAGCAGCAGCAGUCCACCAAUAUAUUAAAGUGGAGUUCAUCUACCGUUGGAGGGGCUGUAGGCUGGCCCAGCUAAGCGCGGCAUGCCAAACCAUACUCACAACCGCACAGCCGUCUUCGUCAUGCCCGCUACAAAAUGCACAACUAUGAUCGUGCGGUAGCCCUCUCUUUGCAAGAUAAUGAGCCGUCUGAAUACGCUUGCAAACGAACAGCCAUAAGGAAGAUUUUAUACUUGAGAGGAGCCCAGGUCUUCCAAAUGCCAUCCUCACAUUGAAAGAAGAUGGCUGGAGCGAACAGUGACUGAAGCACUAACUUCUUAUAAUAGUGAACCAUAUGCUUUUUAUGCCUCUUGACACCACUAGAUACUUCUAUGAUUAUUUGAAUGCCCUCUUAGUAGUAACUUUCUUUGGCUCAAUCGUUGUUGAUGGUCAGCAAAUCCUCAUUUUUUUCAGUUUCUAUUCUACUGUAGUUUUGUUCUGAAGAUUUAAUUGGGGCUACUUUAUAACAGGAACUUUGUAUACCCUGACAUCUACUAUUUGUUCGGUUGUAGAUUAGCGCAUGUUUCCUACGAUGCUAUGCAAUAAACGACUAUCACAUUGGUCCAGCUUUCAAGACCCUAUGAGACCUAACAAUGAUUUUCAACUUCCAGUUACCCUAACAAUGAGAAGCUAUGGAGGAUAAUGUCUAAACAGGCAAUGGUGGAACAGAUUCAAUUGGUUUUUUCCUCGCAAAAAAAAAGAUUCAAUUGGUUUUUUAAAUCUACCCACUUGCUUCCCGUGACUCAUUUGUUCGUCCUUAAUUACAACUAUGUGUCCUCUUGAAGUAAAAUUGAUGAGCUAAAAUCAUGUUCUGUCAAGGAUGACAGAGUGCCAUCUAUUCCAUUAUCCAAACAAAAUAUUGAUGGGAACAUUUUUUUUCACAUCAUUUUUGCCUUUUUUGGCACCUAUCAUUGCAUCUUCUUGAUGAAUACUACAACUCUAUCUCUACCGUGUUUAGUCGGGUCCAUUUUUAGUCAGAUACUUAACUCUAAGCUCUACAUAAAAGCUUCCUCAAAUAAAUUAAUUGCCAAUGCAUCGGUUCAUGUUUCCAUGGUACAACAAAUAUAGUUUUUACAUAAAUUUGUUAACAGGUCCCGCCGCAACGCGUGGGGAAUCAUCUAGUUUCAUCAAUCGUGUUUGAGUUGGAGGUCUCGCCAAGACACACGGGGUCGGACCCUGACUCACCCUUAGUUUGGAAUAAUAAUCGAAAUAAUUAUAGUACGUGCCGGUUGAUUGUCUUACUGUUUUGCUUUUCCGAAGUAGUUACCAUGUGGCAAGUGUUAGCAGCUACUCCCUCCGUUCAAAAUUACUCGUUGUGGUUUUAGCCACGACGAGUAAUUUGGAAGUACAGUGGAACCCAAUUUGUCCAUUCCCUAUCUGGCCAUCUCCUCCACCAGCGAUAUCAAACCCAAUGAUUUUUUUUUUUUGAGAACUAAACGCAAUGAUCUUAUAUUGUAAGAUGCGUGUUAGGUCCAAUGAUGCUAUGCGAAACAAAUGCAUCUUGUACUGGCUGAUUGCCCCACGGAUUGUUUUUCAAAUUAUGCCAGCUUAAAGAAUGACUUUAUAUUGUAAGAUGGAGGGAGUAAUAAAUAUAAUUUCGGUUUGCAUGUCAUGCGUCAAGCAGGAGUCCAAUUUAAGACUUGGACUUGUCCACGUGCUUAGGUAGCAGUAUAGUAGGAUUAGAUUUGCAUUGGGUCGGUGGCUGCUAUGUAUUAAAUAUAUAUGCGGCACAUAGUGCCGAAAUUCGCAGGGGCACUCAUCUUUCUAGCCCUGCCUCUCUAUCGAUUUGCCUCGUGAUUCAUGAAGUAGUCGAAUUCCGCACGAGGGCACAGUAAAAGAAAAUACCAAAGGGCUUUAAGUUUCAACAAUGAAAUGUACGUUUUUUGCAUCUAAAAAUGCUAAGUUUCAACAAGAUUCAGAGAUAUAAUUUAAGCAUUUUUUCUAACGGCCGUAGACCCAAAAUAAUUGAUUUUCAUUGGUUUAACAUAUUUUUUAAAAUCAUCAAAAUAUAUUCAAAAUGAAUCUUAUGUCCAACAUUGUGAGCUACCUGUCAUUGUCCAGUCGGACUCUUCUGUCGCCCUUUCCACGUUGUCUGGCGACAGUUUAUCUAGAUCUACCUACAGGGCAUUUAGUCGCUGAGAUUCGUCAUCUUAUGGUAAAUUGAGUUUUCAUUCCCUCGAAAAUUAGUCGUGUACAAAGUAGGGUAGCAGAUUGUUUGGCCCUGUAUAGUCAUACAGAGAGUACUACUGUUGUAUGGCUUGGACGAGGUCCACCGUGUAUUGAGGAUCUCUUGCCUCGUGAUUGUAACCCUAUGCCUAUGGAAUAAAAUUCUUCUACCAGCGCAAAAAAAAAAAGCGCUGCUCACGAGAGACACGAAUAUGAAAACAUAACUUAAUUUAGUAUUUUUGUUUAAAAGCUAUAUAAUUUUUGAAAAUCGAUAGCCAAAAUAAAAAGGCCACGCGUGCUCCGGCCCAACGAAGCAAACCCACUUAUUAUGCCCAUGUAGUUGGGGAGACGUUAUUUGUCGCAUGGCGUGAUAAAUAGUUUAAGCUACCCACAGUGCGCCUAAGACUGGGCCGGCCCGUUUCUCCUUUUUGUUGUUCUAUUUUUCGUUUCUUUCUGUUCCUUUCUCUUUCUCUUUUAUAUAUACGUUUCCUUUUUUCCUUCUUUACUUUUAUUUUUUCUGUGAAGUAAAAACUUAGAAAAUAUUCAGAAUUUCAAUUUUUUUUCAAAUGUUCAAAAAAUUGUCAGAAUUCCAAAAUUAUGUUCCUGUUUUGAAAAAUGCUCGAAAAUUUUAAAAAAUUCCCGUUCCAAAUUUUCUCAAGAUAAAAAAAGUUCCCAUUUUCUAAAAAUAUUUUGGUUUUUAAAAGAUAUUUGAGAUUUUUUAAUAAAAAAUAUAUAUUAUAAAAUGUUCCAUAUUUCAAAAUAUAAUUGUGUUAGUGAAAUGUCCACAAAUUUAAAAUAAUAUUUGUGUCUAAGAAAACAUUUUUUAACAUUGUUUUGAAUGUUCCCCUUAAAAAUCAGAAAAUAAAAAUUAUUUGUAUUUUUAAUAAAAUUUUCAUGUUUUCAAAAUGUUUUUUGUGAAUUUCAAAAACUAUUCGUGUUUCUAAUUUUUUUCUUGUUUUUCCAAAAAUAUUGGAAUUUUCAAAAAAAAAGUGUUUGCAUUUUUUGAAAAUUGUUUGGGAUUUAUAAAAGUGUUCACGUUUCCAAGAAUAUUCACCAAUUCAUAUUUUUCUAAUGUUCUAAAAAUCAAAAAAUAUUUCUAAUAUGACGCUAUAGUAUUUUCUUAAAUAUUUGGCGCUGGCCAUUGGUUAGCGGUGCGCAUUCGUUCUAUGCUGAUUGACUAUAAAUGAAACAAAUUAUGGGCAAGUGCGAAUAAAUGAGAAUAUGUUGUUUGAGUUUAAUUAGAGCAAAAUUAUGGGCACUUGAGCGCUAAAAUAAUAAAACAAAAUAAACCCUCAAAAAGAAGGGACAAACAUGCACGAUUAUGCUAAUGAAACGGGAUUUAUGCGCAGCAAUUAAUAAUCCAUCCGAUUACACCGUUGUAGGAUAAAGUGGUCGAAGCAACCGUGUCCUGAAGGUCACCACGCAGCCAUCAAAUGAGGAGGCAGGCACACACCCGAGAUGGAGGCGGACUCGGAGGAAAAAAAAGGCAUGAGUUGGUUGCUCGUCAGCACACCAACCAACCCCACCACUAUCAAGAUUUCGCGUGUCAAACAUGUCCAGCGAGAAGACCAUAACUCCUUGCUCUGUGGCCUACCAUUGUGUAGACCCUUUUUUGGAUGACACAUCAAUUAUCUUUCCCGCUGCUUCUCGCAAAAAAAAAAUCUCUCCCAUAACGCGCGGGCAUGUGCUAGUAUUAUCUUAUUAGAAAUAAAAACCUUUGUUUCACACAAAGCUGGCCAAACGGGCCGGCCCAGCCCGACACGACACGACCCGCUCAUCGUAAUCGUGCAUGGCACUGCACGACCCGCCGUGGCACGUUUAAUAGCCAGGUCGUGUCAUGUCGGCCUGUGUGCUGCAACCUGUAGCCCAACCACGGCUCAGGUGCUAAUUGGGUCGGCCCGCCUGCACGCCAGGCACGUAGGCCCACCUCCUGUUUGGCAUGCAGUGCUAUUUUUGCCUACCGGGCUGGUAUUAGGCCAUAUAUACAUACAUAAAAAAUAGAAAAAAGUUAAACGGGUCCUGCCGUGCCAGCCCGCAUGCUCAACCUAGCAGCCCAAGCACGACCCAAGGUAUGCCGAGUGCCUAGCAUGUCCCGAUUAGCCCCGUGUCCUGCCUGGCCCGUCACAUGUCGUGCCAGUGUGCUCACGGGCCGGCAUGCCAGGGCCGACCCGUUUGGCCAGCUUUGGUUUCAAGUGUUUACAUGUUCUUUAAACUGGCCCGUGGUUCAAGCUAGCUUAUAGUACCAAAACUUGUCAUUGGUGUGCACCAUGAUGCAAAAACAACGACAGCAAUGAUCGGGCCGUUCUUGCUAAACAAAUGCCACGGGUAGCUCUGGGUUUUGUACUAGCCGUUCUGCAAGUUUGGAUCUAGAGUAGGGCAGUAGUGGGACACAUACUAGAAAACUUCUUGGCUGUUCAGUUGGCAUGCCCGUUUUAUUUAUGGUGUCGUGCCUGGGCCUGGAGGCUCGGCACGAGGGACGACACAACAAGGCUUGCGUAUCAUGGGUUGCCACGUCAUCAUUAUAUGACAUGGGGUUCAUUUUAUUUUUUAUUGUAGUUUAAUUUUAUUUUUUCGAAUUACUUUUAUUUAUAAUUAUUUAUUCUUAAUCGAUUAGAAUGUGUUUAAUAAUAUUAUUUUGGCAAUGUGAACAUUAUUAUAUUAUAUUUUGAGACUUGAAUUUUUUGUCCCUUUUAUUUAUUGGUAGGUGGUGAACAUUUUUAUAUUGCGUUGUAGUUUUUCAAUUUAUAUUACUUGAUUUUUAUUACUUUGAUUUAUAACUAUUUAUUUUUUGUCCUUUUUAUUACUGUAUUGCGUCGGCGAGGAUAGGGCGAGCUGAGCUGGGGGUGUGGAGCGGAUGGGAGAAGGUGGGAUGGGGAAUGGAGAGAGUGGGCGUGGAUAAGGCCUUGUUCGGGACGAGUGAAUUUUCAGCGAACGGGUUCUCUGAUGACAAUGUCUCUGCCUAGUCCUUUACGAUUUGUGAAAUUAAUAUGACACGUUCGGGACCAGAUGUCUAAAUGCGGCACAUUCGGGAGUUAUAAAAAACCGUGUGAAAAAGAUUGACGGUCUUAGUAUUUUUUCCUUAGAAAAAGGAUGAUGCCUCCAAUUAUAAUUAGUAAAUAAAUAUAAAUAUAUAAAAAAAUGAACGGGUGCAGCAGCUCGCGUGAACAUAGCAGGAAAUACCCGACCACUACUCAACGCGGCUCGGCCUGCUCCGGAACCGAAACAGAAACGCGCUAUCGGGGUCGUAUUUCCGAUUAUUUAUUAAAUAAUCAGGUCGGUGGGUUAUUAUUAUCGGAGACCGCGGCGGCCAGGCUUGACCACCUCGUCGCCGUCGUCCGGUCCGCGCUGUAUAUACAAACCCCAGGCGGUGGCACCGCCUCCACCUCCAUCUCCACAACCCACCUCGAUCUCCAUUUCCAUCCCCUCGAUCCCCAACCAGCAGCGCACGCCAACCGCCGAUCCGGGCCAUGGACGCCAACUGGCGCCCCACCCAGGGGUCGGACCCCGCCGCCGGCGCCGGGGGCGUUGACCCGGGCGCGCCGCCGCCCCCCGCCGGGGGCGACUGGCGCGCCGGGCUCCAGCCCGACGCCCGCGCCAGGAUCGUCAAUAAGAUGUAAGUAUAGACACCCCAAUCGAUCUGAUCUGAUUGGGUUCGCUUUCCCCUCCCUCUAAUCUUAUCGAUUCGAUCCCCCGUCACCCCUUUUCGGGUCAAUUUUCUCGUCGGUCGAUCUGUUAAGAGCCUCGAUCUAGCCAGCGGCAGCAACAGACGCGGCCUCGCUCUGCGCCCCUCUGUUCUUAAUUAGUCAAAAUUCCCCGCUGGGGGAUUCACCAAUCAACCUGUAGCGCACCCUCUUCGAAUCCAGCCUAAUUACUUUACUAGCUAGACUAGAAUUAUAUUUGACCAAUUUGACACAAGUUCAUUGACCAAGAGGUGCGAAUUUGUCAUGGCACAGGAUAUCAUAACGUUUGUUUCACCACGUAGCUAGGGUAAACCAUUCUGUUAGUUUUGUUCCUGAACUAGGGUUCCUCGAAUGCUUCCGCAAGGAAAUUUUGCAUAUUAUGAUUGAUGAUUGGUUGUCUAUAUUGGCUGGCUGCUCUGCCUGCUCUCGUUCCACUUUACAUCUCGGAUGCGACAUGUUUUAUUGCGCACAACUGCUGAGAAGCAACGCGUCCCCUGAAUUCAUUCAAAUUCUGCGUUACGCGUGCAGAACGGAAACUCUGAAGAAGCAUCUGCCAGCGUCUGCGCCAGACGGAGUGAACGAACUUCAAAAGAUCGCGGUGCGAUUCGAAGAGAAGAUCUAUACUGCCGCAACCAAUCAGGUGAUUUAUUUAACCUAUCUUCGCUACUUCUCUGAGCAGAGCACACAAACAUUAGUUAUGGGGUUUUCUUCUAGAAACAGAGUUUAUGGUAUAAUAAUACAGCAGAACUGUCUCCAAUUGUUGUACAAGAUUUUUAAUUAUAUCAUGUUUGAGUACCUUUAGCAGUUCCACCUUUAUUUUUGUGAAACCCUGGGUGAAUUUUUUGUUCUCCAAGUGCUAAAGUUUUCUUCACCUACUCUUGGGAAUAUAUCCUGAUUUUUCUCAUGCUUCAGAAAAAAAAAUUAUGUGCUGCCGGGAGCUAUUUGUUGCACAUCCCAGUUAUUUUUCACAUUUAGUAUAUACAUACAUAAUGUAAGUUAGGGCAAGUUCUUUAGGGCAGCUUAAAAAUUAAGCUGCCUCUCCCCAGCUUAAAAAAUAAUCCGUCCUCUAAGUUUGUUGAGACUUCUAAAUUAGCUAUUUCAUAACUAGUUUAGAAGCCCCAAUGAACAAGAGAGGCGGCUUAUGGAAAAAGCUGGGGAGGGGGCGGCUUACUUUUUAAGCUACGAAAAGAACUGGCCCAAUAAGCUACUAUAUUUUUAAUGUUAUAUAUGUUACAUAAAUGAUAGGUCAAAACGCUAAUUCUAAUCUUGGUUAUCAUCUUCACAUGUUGAAUCUCGUACUGUACCUUAAGCAUCUGCAGUUAGUUACUCUUCCAAUUCAUGUUUCUAUGCCACGUGUCCAUGCAUCUGAAUUUGUUAUAGAUGAAAUAAAAGUAUCUUAUGUUGGAAGGAUAGUACAACCCAAGACCAUGGGAUUCACAGUGGUAUAGAAUCAUUUUUCUCGGACGUAAAAAUCAAACAAGACCUUACUCCCUCUUUCCCUCUAUUCCAGUCUGGUAAAACAAAACCAAUUGUAUUUAUUUGGUUGGGGCGUACCAUAUCACCAUUUCCAUUUCGAAUUUCUGUUCGUCUGGCUUAUUUGUUACAAACGUUGGAGCAAUCUACAACUCUUCAUCAUAUUUCCUAACUCAGUUAUAGUGAAUAUUUGUUUAAUUGAUAAAGUUGUGGUACAGUGUCACUAUCUUCAUUUGGAUUUACUGUUCAUAUCACUUAUUUGAGGCGAUGUGUUUUGCUGCUUAGAUGGCAUUUAUUGAAUUCAAUUGUUAAGAGCUGAAACACCUUAACUACCAUGCUAAACUGCUUGCAUCAGAACUGUUGAUUGCAAGCCACUAUUACUGAUUUGGUAUAGAACUUUACAUCAUUUUCUUUUCUAUUACUCAGUCUGAUUAUUUGCGGAAGAUUUCUCUGAAAAUGCUCUCUAUGGAGACGAAGACACAACAGGCUGCUGGAAAUGCUCAAGUGAUUCCAAAUCAAAAUAACUCCAGUAAGGUGUCAUAUACAAUAAACUGAGUGUUGCACAAUUUGUCAUCUUUGCUUGAUUGUCAAUAUUUUAUUCCAUCAAGUGCUGAGAUUAUGUGCUUCAUUGCAUUAAAUCACCCUCCCCUCUCCAGCAUAAUGUAUAAGAAUUUCACAUCUAGCUUGUGUCAUGUGUGCAUUUAUUGAACGCAGAGCGACACGGUAAGUGCCUUGGUUCAGUGGUCAGACCGCCGGUUCGGCGGCCCAAUGUGUUGGUUCAAAUAAAAUAUUAUUGCGCGGUUUUUUAGUAUGGUAGAAACAAUGUUAAGUACGAAGAUAACAAACGAACUGCCUAGUUAGUUAUUCGACUGGGUAGUCGGCCUUGCUACCUUAAAGACAGUCCGAUUCUUUGCACAUACAGAAUAUUUUAUUAACCCCUGGUCCAGUGCCUGUUUGGUUUGUUUAACCAGGUUUUCCCUGGUUCACAUCAGGUUGCUCGGCUAAACAGCCAUAACCGUGAACUAGAUUGGAACAGGGGGAACAGCCUUCACUGUGAACUAGAUUGGAACAGGGCUUGGUUCUGGUUUAUUCUGGUUAAACUAGCGGUCUGGUCGGUUUUAAUAAUGAUGCAUGUGUCAGCAGUAGUAUUGAAAAGGUUCACUUUUUAAGUUGAGCUAUUGCAAAAGUUAACUUUUCAACCUUGAACCUUGAAACUGGUUGUUUUUAACUGUGAACUACCAAAUCAGUUUACUUUCCCUUUGAGCAUCUCCAACGGAUCCCCAAUAACAUCUUCAGGUUAUUGGGGAUGGAUGCUUUCGCAGAUCCCCAAUAAAUCUCCCCUAAUACUCUGUCUCUCUAUUUCUCUACAUACUUGUGCGAACACUAUGAAUACUUAAACACCACAGCACCAUAAUUUAAAACAUUAUGUUUCAAUUUUCAACAAGUCGCAUCAUUUCAAAUCCACACUUCCCAAGUUCAAAAUUCAAAGACGAAUUCAAAAUCAAAAUGCAACAUACGAUUCACAUAAACAUGAAAAAUUGAACAUAGAGCAUCACUCACUCCCAUUUCCACUCCCACUCGCAUCCCCUCUCAUCUUUGAUGCUAGAAUUUGUGCUUUCAUCAACUCAAGGUACUUGAUUUGGUUUGGAUCAAGCCUAGUGGGGUUCAUGAACAUGAUCUUGUAUUCUUCUCCGUCUUCGCAUUCACUUCCUCUCCAAGGACCCUCAACUUCUCUUCUUCAAUUGCCUCCUUGCGCUCCUCACAUGCCACCUUGUGCUCCUACGUAGCCUUGACCUCCAACAACCUUGCUUCCUCUUCUUGUUCUUUCUUUGCCUCCAACUCUUUCUUUAUUGCUAUUAUCUCUCUGACUGCUGUCUUCAACACAACUCCAGCUCCUCCAAUGGGAGUUUGUUGGUGGUCGUCGACAAGCUAGGAGUUUGUUGGGGCAACCCCAAUGGGCGCUUCAUCAACCUCAAAGCUGAGUGGACAGUGAAAUGCUAUCUAUGCAGACUGACUUGUUCAUCAUGUUGAGAUAUGAUUGCUCACUACAUAUACGCAAACAUAAAACUAAUGAGCAUUGCAUCGACACCAUCAUUCAUAUUUUCAAACUUUGCAUUGAAUUUUAUUCAUAUAGCAAAAACAAAAGAAAUAAAAAUGAAAAAUAAAAAAUA